rnacentral:lncRNA from 1 species
AAAGGGCUGUGCACCCCACACAUGCCUGGGAGUUUGUUCGUAAGGUCAUAGUUGAUGCCAGAAAUGCUGGCAGCUAAUGCUUUGACGCAGUUGCAAGCUGAUUGGCGCUCUGGAGUUGAUUGGGCAGCCUCGUUGAGAGAUCUGAUCCCAUUGCAGCAAGAUGCAGGCACGCCACCAGCACCGUUGUUUCUCACGUAAGGAAUGCAGGGUGCCAAGGCUGAUAUGGCUUGGCCACAACUUAUGGCCCCUUCAGCCAGGGGUGCACCCACAACCAAGCACAAGACCACACCACAUGCAAGCUUGAGGGCCACAGUGCUGGCCAUAUGAUUCACUAAUUAGAAGAAAUCAAACAAUUUUAUAUAACUUGUAAGGAAAAUUGAUUGUUGUGUGCUUAGGGGUUGAGGGGUUUUAUAGCCAAAAGUUCAGUGAAUUGGGAUAUGACAAGAAUUAAGAAAUUAAUUGCAUACCAAUACAACACGUUAGGAAUUGCUAAAUGUGGCUCAAUUCAAUACAAAGCUUUUUUUCUUUCCUUCUCAUGUUUCGGCUUUAAGGUUUAGUAUCUUUAAUGCUUGGAAAUUAGGUUCCAUCCACCACUAUCAGUUUUAUUUUGAUCAAAUUAUAAUUCUCAAUUAGUUUGAAUUUUAGUAUAUAAUAUUACCAUAAUUUCAAUAGCUUUUACACAUCGAUCGAGUCUCAACUCAAUUUGAAAAUUAUCAUAAAUCUAUUUAUUUUAUAAACCGGAUCAUUCAUGUCUUUUAACAUUUUGAUAAAUCUAGAAAUAUAUAUACAUAUAAUGAUAAUUAUAGGAUUUGGAUUCAAAACAUUAUAUCAUUUACUAUUUUAACUUUACCAUUUCAACCAAAACCACAUUUAAUUUUUUUUUCCUUUUUAUUUAUAAUGUAAAAAACUAUCAUGAAAGUUCAUCAUUCACUUAAAUUAAUUAUUAAUUAUUAAUUAUUAGUUUUAGUUUUAAUUUAUUUUUGAAAUAUAAUUAUUUUUAAUGAAUAUUAUUAUUAAGAAAUUGUUUCUCACCCAUAAAGUAUAAACCUUAAUUACUUCUAUAUAAUGGACUCAAAUUUUCCUUUAUUAUUAUUGAUAACUUGAUAAAAUAAAAUGUAAAAUCUUUUAUAAAAAGUGCGAAUUUCAUCUGUUUGCAAUCGUUUUGUUUCAGUUUUAUAAUUUCAUCCAUCUGUCCAAAUUAUUAGAUUUAUACAUAAAUAUAGGUAUAUUAAUUUCAAUUAUAAGAUAUUAUAAAAUUAUACAUUAAUACAUAAAUUCAUUUGAUAAAAAUAUAAAUAGUUUUUUUUACCAUAUUAUAUUAAUAUAAAUCUAAAAUUAAAAUAGAUUUUAAUUUUUUUUUAUUUAAAUUUGCAUGUAAAUCAUUUAAAUAUGAAUAUUACAAUAUUUUAUAAUGAAAAUGACUUAUUAAUUAGUUUGAUGUAUUUUCAAAAUUGUAUUAAAUCGUAAUUAGUUUUCAAUAUAAAUAUAUAUAUUUCCAAUUAAGUAUUAUAAAGUUGAAGAUAUUUAUAAACAAUUUUAAUUUUUUUUUUAUUUAACUAUUUUUUCCAUCAUGAAUAUUGCACGUGAAUAUAAACUUUUAUUUUUUUGUUAUUGAAUAAAAAAUUCAUUUCAUUCAAAUAAUUUAAGUAAUUAUUAUUAAAUAUAAUUAAAACAUAUAAUAUUCUAAAAAUAAUUAAAAUUGAAAAUUUAAAUAUAUAAAGCAAAAUGUUUAAUUAUCUAUCAUUGACAAUGAAAAUUUCUAUUUUUAUUCAUCUUGCUUUCAUUUCUUUUUUUUUUUUAAAAUCUCUUUAAAAAUUUCUUAAAUAAACUAACUUACUAUAAUUAAAGAGCUUUAUUUAAAAUAUAUCUUGAAUAAUAAAAUAUAAACUCUUUUAAAUAAAAAAGAAAAUCUAAACUAAACUAAGCACCUGGAGUCUUACUUCAACUCAUAUCAUUAUCCCCUAUUAGAAAAAUAUUCGUCUUCAAAUCUUGAAUAUUGUUUGAUCGCAAUAUUAUGCUAUCAUGUGUUAUUUUUUUGGAUGUGAAUUUUAAAAUUAACAAAACUAAAUUAGAGUUUUAAUGCUAAAUGAUGUGAAAAUUUAAUAUCCGAGAAAUCAUCAAAUCGAUAAGGAAACAUGUUUUCUCCUACACUACCUCUAAUCAACUUAUGGUUAGCAACAACAAUAAUCGAUAAUUUUAUCAAAUCACGAAAAGAAUGAAAAAUAUGAGUAAUUAUGUUGUACAAGCAAAAGAAUGAGUGAAAAGAAUGGAAAGAAACCAAAUAUUUGUAGGCUAAAAAAUCCUAAAAGAAAUAAAACUCUUAAAUAAAUUAGUCUACCGGAGUUUUUAUUUACAAUAUAUCUCUAGUAAUUAAAUAUAAAAUGUUUUAAAUAAUAAAAGAAUUAAGCUAAACACCUAGAGUCCUACUUGAACUUGUAUAACACUUUCGUCAUUCGUGAGAUCAAACAUUACAAAUUGAUUCGUCUAUUUAAUUGACUUCUUAGAUCAAUUACGAUCCGUUAUUUUUUAGAAGAUUUCGCAAUUUACUCUUUUUAAUUUUUUAUUAUUAUUAGUUUUCUUGCAAGAUGUAAUGAUGGGCAAAUCUUGAAAUUUUUUUAAGGGGGCUAGAUUGAACUAUAAUUUUUUUAAGAGAUGAAAAUAUAAUUUUAUCAUGUUUUAAUUUUAUUAUUUCAUCAUUUUUGGGGAUUAAAGUGCAAUCUUACCAUAUGUUAAUUUAUAAUUUAAUCAUUUAUAUGGGGCUAAAUUAUUAUUUUUUUCAUUUUGAAAGGGGCCAAAGCCCUUGCCUGUCCCCUUUAAAUUCACCGCUAGGUGGAAUUAAUCCAUUGGAGUGUAAACAUGAGUGCUAAUGGUAAAGAAUUAUUAUGACUAAUCGAAAGUUGAAAAUUUAAUCAUGUCAUUAAGUUGCAAAGAAGAGUUUCAUGUUGGCACAUUCUCAUACUUGUGGUUAACAAUGUCUUCCGUUCACAUCAACGACUUCUUUACUUGUUUUGUUUGUUGUAGUCUCAUCAACAAAAAGUAUUCACGAUAUAGAAAUCUUCUUUAUUGUUCUGAAUAUUUUUAAAGGUAGCAUUGGAGAAAUGGCCAUAGAACAUAAUACAAGGAAAAAGUAAGGAGUACAUAGAAAGUUGACAACAUUUAGUGAGGGAAAAGAAAUCUACUUUGAACAAAGACAAAUUCGUAAUAUGAUAGACAAGUAUGAGCAAUUGAUUAAUGAAAGUAAGUGUAAUCACAUGACUAUUUUAGAAUCAUGUUCUAAUGAUGAUUUAGAAGAUAGAGAUGGGUCACUUUAUGAAGAAAAAUGUUAGUGAACAAAGCGUAAGAGAAAAAAAAUUAUAUUGUCAGGGUUGUUCACUAAAGUGUAGUUUAGAUGAGUUUGGAACACUUUAUCCUCCUAAAAAGUUGUAGUUUGAUGAUUUGGGUGGUGAGAUUAUCUCAUGUAAAAAGAUUGAGUGUAAAGAGGCUGAGAUGGAUAAAAGUUAAAUUAAAGGCUUAAACUUGGUGAAUAAUAACACACACAAAACUAAAGGUGAGAAAAGAAGGAGUGAAAAGAAUGAAAAGAAACAAAUAUGUUGUAUAUGCAAAAGAGAGAAGUGAUUAUGUUUUAACUAAUUAUAACUCGAAUUUGUCUAUUGGUGUUUCUUUAUUUUAAGAUUUUAGUGAUCUAUUGAGAGGAGCUCAAUUACAUUAUUCCACCCAUAAUAGAAGAUUUUACAUGUUAGAGCAAGAUAAGUUGAACCUUUACAGCACGUUUGGUUGGCAUGAAUAACCAAACUAUUCCAAGCUGAUUCGGUGAUAAACAAUGAUUCAAUAGUUUGGUUCAUCGAAUCCUUUAUUCAAAGAAAUCAUCAUUCAUCUUCUAUUCCACCUUCUCCCGUAAUGGUCAUUCCUCACCAGACCUAAAGAAUAGGACAUUACAACCUCCACCAAAUAAAGAAAAAAACAUAACCUUCCAUUAUUACCCUUUACCACUCUCCCUCACCAAACACCACAAGCCACCACACCCCCAGCCCUGUCUUCUCAUUCCCAUUCGGUUAUUCUCAUCUUACGACGAUCAUCGGCUGAGAUCUUGACAUUGUAAAAACUUCCCCAAAGUUAAGAUGAGUAAGGUUAUUAUUCCCCUCAAUCUCACUUCCAUUGUGAGAAUUUCAUCUCUUUACUUCUCUGCUUGUGUUUCUCAGUAAGGAGCUGUGAAAAAAUGAUUUUUCGAAAAAAAUUUGGUUGAUUGGCUGAUCCGAUUGUUUUAGGGCAAAAAUGAUUUUUCGAAAAAAAUUUGGUUGAUUGGCUGAUCCGAUUGUUUUAGGGCAAUUUAGGGUUAGAAAUUUAAGCUUGUUUUUCUCGAAUUGCAUUUUUGUUUUUAUUGCUUCUAUACUUGUUUUUCGAUUGUUUCUCUACUUGUUUUUUUUAUUGGUUUUUAUGGUCAUUUCUAUUUAUUUCAAGGGAUUUUAGGUUGUUUGUCUCAAUAGUAAGGGAUUUCAAUUUCAGGUUGGGAUUUGUUGGGUUUUAGCUCAGAUUGAUUCCCGUGUAAGAAAUUGUGCAUUUGUUUCACAGUUUGACUACUUAUUUCUCUUCUCCUAAAGAUUCUUCUCAUUUGAAUUUUUGCCAUUAUUGUUUUUAAACAACUUUUCAUUUGGAAUUACAGGUCAAUCAUAGGCUGGUUGACUGAACCAGUUUCCAGAUUGGGUUUUUGUUUUGUAUUGUAAGCAAUUGAUCCUUUUGGCAUGUACAUUGUUGGAUACAUCUGUAAGGGGAAGUUAGGGAGCGAGAAUAUGUAAUGAUGAUGGAUCGCACACAUGCAUGUAUAGAAACAUAAGGAGUUAGGUCUAACGACUUAUUUUUCAGUGGUGACGAAAAUAGUGGUUUCGAGACCACAAUUUCAAUGAGUGAGUCCAUAAAUAUUAUUUAUUUAAUAUUUACGAGUUUAUUAGAGUGUUGUAUUAAAGUGUGGUCUAGUAAUUUUGAUGUUUGAUGGGUCAAUUAAGGUACAAUGACUAAAUAGUAAAAUCAUAAAAGUUAUUUGCUAUUAAGUUUUAUUAGUUAAAUAGCUUAAAUAGUAAAAAUAGGAGGACUUAUAUGGUAUUUAAACCAUAAUAUUAUAGUAUGGAGGACUAAGGCUUGACUUUUACUUAUUUUAUAUGUUGGAGUUGUAUUAAAAUAACAUGUAUAUGUUUAUUAAACAUUAAAAGAUGGAUAUCAUCUUCCUUAAUUGGUCUUCCACCGAAUAAAAAAAGCAUAAAACCACCAUUUUAAAGCUAUAAAUUCGGUUUCACUUGUGUCCUUACAUGUAAGUCCAUUCUAAGCUCAUUGUUAGUUUUUUUAUGUUUUUGAGAUCGUUGCAACUAGGUCCAGCUAACCUGUAUCUCUGUUUUCAAAACUGUUAAAGAUUUUAAAAGUUGUCAUUGAUGAAAUUGGAAGCUUAUGAUGCUUAAUAGCUUGAUUGUAAGCUUAGAUAUGUUUAAAGAUUUAUUUGUAAAGUAAAUUUUGUUAGUUUGAAUAUAAAGACUAGUUUGUAAAUAUGUCAAAAUUUAAAGGUGAAAUUCUAAAAUUGUAUCCUAUAAAGGGUUAUAAAAGGAUGGAAUUGAUAAUGGAUGGAAAAUUGAGUUUAAAUGUGAAAGUUGUAAUAGUUUCGGUUUUAGGGACUAAAUUGCAUAAAAUACAAAACUUUAGGGAAAUUAUGUAAAAUAAGUAAAAGAUGUUACAUACAUGAAAUGAGAUGAACUGAAUUGUUUGGAAUUGAUAAUGUGAAAUGAAUUAUUAUAUAGAUUAAGAAUCGAACCAACCGGUAAAUAACUGAGGAAAAGGAAAUAUUGCGGAUUAAUCUUUAAUAUUUCUUCUACUGUUGUUUUCACUUGGUAAGUUCAUACGGUAUAAUUAUGUGGUUUUAUAUAUAUAUUUUUUUUGCGAUUGAAUUGCAAAUUGAUUAAGUUUAAAUGUAUAGUUGAAAUGGUUACAUAAUAGUAUAAAAAGGUGAGAAAUGGAUUGAAUUGUAAAGUAUUGUCCUGAUAUGUUAAUAGAGCCCUAAUGAAUGUAAGAUAGGAUAUAAUUGACAUGCCAAUAGGGUUGAUUACGCGCUAGUACGGGAUAUGUGUAAAAGAUGAUGUGGAGUAAAAAAUUUAGCGGAGAUAUCACAAUUUAUGUUGGAAUCCUGCAUUUGUUGCGGAUUACCAAGCUUUGUCUCUACGGAGACCUUGGUGUGGUGUAGUUAUUGCUCUAUUGAGCUAUUUAGUGUGGUGGAGGGAUGAUAUAUUACAUGAUACGAUAUUAUGCCUACAGGCUUUGCACUACGAUGCCUUGGUGUGGUGCAGUUAAUUCUUUGUUGAGCUAUUUGGUGUGGUGUAGUUACCCGCGUAUCUGUAUCUUAUUAUUUUAGUUCAUCAGGCUCAUUGUUUAAAAUGUUAUCUGAUUGUGAAUAUGCAUUGAUAUGAUCAAUUUGUUAAUAUGAUUCAUGUUAGAUAUCUCCUAUUGAGUGAUACGAAAAUGUAUUAUAUUGAAUGAAUGAGAGAUUUACGAUUGAUACAUGAAAUGCUCACCUUGUUGUUGUAAAUGUCUUGAUAGAAAAUUGUAUUAAAUUAGUUAUAUCUGUUUACUUAAUUGUGAAUUGAGGUAAGAGUAUUGUUUAAAUACCUAUGAAUUUACUAAGCAUAUUAAUGCUAACCCCGUUUUAUUUUUUGUUUCAUGUAGUUGUAUCUUCUCGGAACUUGGCUACCGGAUCACUUCCAAGGCUCACACUAUCCAGUGUCGUUUUCGGUAGACUUUUGUUUCAUUUUGGCCCGGUUAUAAGUGGCAUAUAAUAGGGGUAAAUUUUUUUACGUGUUUAAGAUUUAAACUUUUGAACUUGCUCAUUUUGAUACGUUAUAAGUGUAAUGUGGAAGAAUGGAGAUGUUGUUUUGGUUAGUUGAAUAUUGUUUAUGCAUAUAUGCCUUAGUUGUUGAACAUACUUUUAUUGAUGUGUUAUAAUAUAUCUUGAAAUGGAUUGGCAUGAUGAAUGUAUAGAUAAAUGAUGUUGUGGUGUGAAUAAGUUGAAUGAUUUGAAAUUCUUGGUUUGUGAUGGUGUCAUUGAGGCAUAUUGGUUAGUUAUUUAGGAUAUGUUUGUAUGGCAUGUUUUGAAUUGGUACAGGACUUAUAUAUAUAUGAAACAUUUGUUUAAGUGAACAAAUUAUAGUUAGUAUAGAAAUGGAAGUACUUUGAGCAUGUUUGAACUAUGGUUCUUGUAGGGUUUAAAGUGGUAUUGAUGCAGGACUAAUGUAUUUUGGGUUACUUAAGACAUUGUACUUUAAAUUGAGAAUAAAUUGUGAUUUUAAACUUAUAACUUUUUGACUAGCUGGGAAAAAGCAUCGAUAUUAGGGAUCAAGGUAUCGAUAAUUUUCUCCCAAAAUUGAUACCUACAAAAAGGUAUCGAUAAAAUGAUUUUGAUUCAAAACUUCCAAAUUUGGCAUCGAUACUCACAAUAAGUAUCGAUAAUUCUUUCUAAAAUAUUGAUACCUAAAAUUGGUAGAUUGUCAAAAUGGUAUCGAUAAUGUUUUUUUGUAUUGAUACUUGUUGCAAAAAUAUCGAUACUUAUUUCCUCAAUUUUGAUACCUAUUUUAAAGUUUUGAAUUUUUUUAGAUUGGUCCAUAUUCAUGCUUGUAUCUAAAUGAUUGUAGUUAAAAGUUCAAUUUAGUCUCAUAUUUAUAAGUAAUUAUUAAUUUGUAUAUAAAGGCAAUGAUUUGAGAUUGGAAUUUGUUUGUGAAUGUUCCGGUAUGUGUAGUAACAUCCCGUAGCUCAGAUCUAACAACCAAGUUGGGUGAGAGGUGUUACAUUUAUUGAUAUCAGAGCUACGAUUUAGUCAAUUCUAGGACUAAACGUAGUGUGUUUGGAGUCUAAAAAUUACAUGCCACAAAUAACUUGUGAUAUUGUGAUGCUUUUGAUCCGAUCUAACCCUGUUUUCUUAUAGAUAUAAAGAUAUGGGCCGAAUCUAACUGUGUUGUUACCGAUGGAGUCGAAAGUAAUGUCUCAGCUCUUGAACAAGGAGCAAGUCAUAGUUUGUCAGUUCUGCAGAUGUCUGAGAAUGAGGCAAAAAAUGUCUUUUUUGGAGUAAUAGGUCAAUGGUUCAAUGAAUUCUUGCAAGCCAACCCUAUGGCUCCACAACCUUCGCCCCCUACUAUGCCUACCCUCUAGUCCUCAAAGCUUGAACCAUAUACUUGUGCAUCGACCUUCGAUCGACAAAAUUCAAAAAUGUGGGGUCAAAGUGUUCAGAGGCAAGUCAAAUGAUGAUCCUGCUAGAGCUGAAUUCUAGUUUAAAAAUAUUUAGAGGGUAUUUGAUGAAAUGGCAUGUUCACCUGACGACUAUUUCAAAUGUGUUGUAUCACUGUUGAAAGAUGAGGCGUGCCAAUGGUGACAUCCAUUGUUAGCUAUCGUACCAAAAGAUAGAGUUAAUUAGGAAUGUUUUUGAGUUGAAUUUCGAAAGAAAUAUGUUAGUAAAUGGUACCUGGACAAGAAAAAGAAAGAGUUUCUUGAGCUGAAACAAUGAAACAAGCCUGUAACAGAAUAUGAACGAGAGUCUAUACAGCUUAGUAAGUAUGCUCGCGAGAUUGAACCAACCGAAGAAGAAAUGUGUGUUCGUUUUGAAGACGAAUUGAAUGAUAAAAUUAAAAUGUUGGUUGGAGCAAUGGAAAUAUGGGGAUUCGUGGUUCUGCCUGCUCAGGGGCAAAAAAAAUGGAAGAGAUCUAUAACAGUAAGAAAAAAGUUAAAAUGAAAUUUCGUGACUCUGGUAAACGAAAUUAAAUUCUCACGGAGUAAAUGUCAUACCUUAGAAAGAGCUCUCCAGAGAAAUGAGCAUCUACUUCGUGUAAUACUUUCUGGUAUCCUUUCUUUGAUACCAUAUUUACACGGAAGAACACGUACCUAUAAAGCACCAUCCUUUGAGGUUAAAUCAUACCACAAUUUCAUAAGAAAAGAGAUAUUUUGAUCCCCCAAAUGAAGAAACCCAAGGCCUCCACAAGCAUGAGGUUGACAAACAGAGUCCUAGUUAAUUAAAGCUAUCUUUUUUGAACCAUUCAAGGAACCCCGAACGAACUGCCUGACCAAACGUUCAAUCUCCGCACAAAUUCCUUUAUGGAUCAACAUGGAUUGCAUAAAAUAGUUUCGGAUAGACAAAAGCAUAGACUAUGCCAAAGUAACUCAACCUACAAUGGAUUGUUGUCUGGCAUUCCAAUUGGAUAAUUUGUUACGUACCUUUUCUACCACAAACCUUAAUGCACUCUUAGUAACCCUUUCAUGAGAUAAAGGCACUGCUAGAUAUGUACCAGAUUUUGCACCCUUUGAAAACCAAGGAAGCCACUUAUUCUAUCUUCCAUGGCCUCAUCCACCCUACAAGAAAAGUAAAUAUUUAUCUUCCGAGCAUUAACCCAAUGCCCCGAGAGGUCACAGAAAUUAUCAAGCGUCUCCUUAAGAAUCUGAGCUUAUUGUAUAUCCGCUUUAGCAAAAAUAACCAGAUCAUCUGCAAAAAGAAAAAUCAAAUGAGAUAAGUUUGGACCAGACCUAGAAAAGCGUAAAAGGCACCACCUACCACUAGAGAUAGUUGAAUGGAUAUCGUGACCUAACCACUCCAUGCAUAAAACAAUUAGAUACGACGACAAAGGACAUUCUUGUCGAAUCCCUCUAGCUAGUUUAAAUUUCUGGGUAGAGAACCCAUUUCACCACACCUGCAUAGUAAAACCCUUGAUGGCAAACAUAAUAACCCUCUUAAGAAAGUUUGGAAUACCCGCAACCUAUAAAAAAGCAGCAAUAAAAUCCCACAAAAUACUAUCAUAUGCCUUUUUUAAAUCUAUUUUAACCGUGAUCCACCUCUUUUUAUUUUCAUCGAGGGAAUAACGUCUGAUAUGCAUAACUUUAUUGAAAACAUAAUUUAAUCAAAUAAAUUUAAUUGUGAAUAAAUAUUAUAAUUUUAAAAUUAAAAUUGCAUAACUAAAUCCACGUCUUAUAAUCUUAAAGAAAGAGAGAGAGGUUAUAAUGUUUCAAAUCAUUUACCUUUUGCCUUCUCAGUUCAGUUGUUUGCUUUAUCGUGAUCUGUGCAUGCCUUGUUCAAUUAAACAUAUUUAUUCUCUUUUUUCAACCAAAGGAAAACACUGGUAUUUUUUUAGUUUAUGGUGUAUCUUCUUUUACAAGGUUGCCUUUUUCUUUUUUCUUUUCCUUUUUUUCCAAAGGGUUUAGUUUCAGUAGUAAACAGCAAAAUUUAGGAUCCAUGAAAUGGAGUUCCAGCUUAUGAUGCAAGAAAAGGCAUUUAGCUGUAAAGUUCCACGGUUGCCCACACGCCCCCUGUGUCUGUGUGGUUCUCUCUUUUUUUAUCUGUUCAUAAGAUUUUAAAUUUUAAUCUCUGAUUAGAAUAAAUACUAUUUUGCUUUUCAUUUUAAAAUUUUGAUUUUGGUGGAUUUUUCGUGUUGUGGGGGGCAAAGCAUUUAUUAAAGACCCCAAUUCAAGAGUUGGGGUCUUUCCUUUCUCUCUCAGUCAUGGCACCUGCCAAGCUUUCUGGGUUUUGUAAACAAGGAAAUGACUGGUAAGCUCCAACACUUGUUCUAUCUCUCCAAUCUAUAUUUGUAAUUGAACUUCUUUUACAAUUCUUUGCUCUUUUUUCUUCUCUGGGUUGUCUAAUUUUCGUUCAAAUUUGAGACUGAAUUUGAAAUACUACUGCUUUUCUUUUUCAUCUAAUUUCAUGAAUGCUUUAAAAAAGCUAAACCUCUGUGCGGUUUGAUCAAGUUUUGCUUCUUCUUUUCUAGUUUUGGGUUUAUAGAAGAAAGACAAAAGGGUCUAUUUUGGCAGCUAUAAGCAAAAUUAUUCACUUAUAAUGGAGUUAAUGUAGUAUGUUUUGUGAUUAGGUUUUUAUGGGUAUUACAGGCUUUACAACGCAAGGCUGCCAAGUGAUAUAACCAUUAUUGUGGAUGGUGUAAAAUUUCAUCUUCAUAAGGUAAGUCAAAAUUUUCGUUUUCAUUGAUCACUUGGAUAGUUGCAUUAGCCUUCAUGCAUGCUUGCUCUUCUGAGGUUUUACUCUUACACCUGAAACAAUUCGACCUAAGAAUUGAAUAGCUAUGACCACCUUGUUAUGUUAAGCUUUAUGAUCAUAUUUUCUGUAACAGCUUGGUCUUUUCCUAUUGUUUUGGUAAAUGUAAUUGUCAUAAACUUGUGUUUUCCCCUUUGUACUGUACCUUAAGGUAAGACCAACAUGGUGAUGUUAUGCAAUAAAAUGUCAUGCUUUAUGAUCAUAUUUUACUGCAGUUUCCUCUCAUGUCGAAAUGUGGAAAGAUUGCUUGCAUGUUGGAAGAAAUACAAAGUAUCCAUGAUAGGACUUUUACCACAAAGCUUGAAGAAUUCCCUGGUGGCUCCGACACUUUCUUGUUUGCAGCAAAAUUCUGCUAUGGAAUUCAGGUGGAAUUUACAGCUAGAAAUAUAAUAACAGUGUACUGUGCAGCGGACUACCUUGAGAUGACAGAUGAGUAUGGGGAAGAUAAUUUACUUUUGAAGGCGGAAAGUUUCUUCCACAAAAAUGUACUUCACAACUGGAAGGAUUGUGUAUUGGCUUUGCAAAGUUGCGAAUCAUGCAUGCCAAGGGCAGAAAAGCUCCACAUAUUACAGAAAUGUCUGAAUGCUGUAUCUACGAUGGUUUGUACGGAUCCGAGUUUGUUUGGUUGGCCCAUGAUGAUGUAUGGUAGCCUCCAGAGCCCCGGUGGAAGCAUUCUAUGGAAUGGAAUAAACACUGGGGCAAAAAUACGAAGUGCAGAAUCUGACUGGUGGUUCGAAGACAUCUCUUAUUUCAGUGUAGGUGUGUUUGAAAGACUUAUCAAAACAAUGAAAGCAAGGGGUAUUAGAUCUGAAUAUCUAGCUGGUGUUGUAAUGUACUAUGCCAGAAAGUAUCUACCAGGUCUGGGCCGAUGGCAGAGUAGACCGAGUAGCAAAGCCAGGACAGUCGCGAGUUUUAGCUCGACUCCUGCUGCUGUUGAUCAAAGGGAUUUACUGGAAAACAUCGAAAAGCUUCUCCCAGAAAAGAAGGGCAAGUCAUUCUGCCGUUUUUUACUUGGACUUCUUCGUGUUGCAUCAAUAUUAGGUGUCAAUCAGACAUGCCUGGAUUCUUUGGAGAGGAGAAUAGGAAUGCAACUCGAGCUGGCUAGCCUUGAUGGUCUUUUGAUUCCUUCUUUCUCGAAUUCGGAUACUCUAUAUGAUACUGAUUGCGUUGAACGGAUCAUCCAUCAUUUUAUGUCAUCCGAAUCAGGGUUAACAUUAUUUUCCCCACCAUCAUUAGACCUCUUAUCCUCACCAUCAUUUGAGCCCUUAAGAAAAGUUGCUAGAUUAAUUGAUAAUUAUCUAGCCGAAGUUGCUUCUGAUGUAAAUUUGAAACCAGGAAAGAUACGUUCUCUUGCAGAGGUCCUUCCAGACUCUUCUAGAACUUUGCACGAUGGGCUGUACAGAGCACUUGACAUCUAUUUCAAGGUUCUUUUUUACUGAACCAACUUUGAUUUAAAUGGAGUCUUUCCUUUUCGAGAUUUAUAACUUCUACUACCAUUGUGCAGGCACACCCUUGGCUUUCUGAUAGAGAGAAGGAAGUCCUUUGCAACAUCAUUGACUAUGGGAAACUCUCCAUCGAUGCCUGUGCCCAUGCUUCCCAAAACAAAAGAUUGCCACUCAGAGUUGUUCUCCAAGUCUUGUUCUUUGAGCAAUUGCAUUUAAGAACGGCUUUAGCUGGUUGUCUCAAUGUCUUGGAAGCUGAAAGUGCUCCUACGGGUCAGGGGAUUGCCCCAACGGAGAUAGCUGGUAAUGUGACUGCCACUGGUGAAACCGGCCAGCGGAUUGUUCGAAGAGAUGGGUGGGUGACAAUUGUACGUGAAAAUCAAGUUUUAAAAGUGGAUAUGGAAAGGAUGAGGUCUAGAGUUGGAGAACUUGAAGACGAGGUCAGUAAAAUAAAGCGAGAAAUGAAAAAAGUGAAAAAAUCACGUAGCUCACUGAGUUCCCCCUGUAUAGUUGCUGGGAAAUUCGGAUGCAAGCCUCUUUCAAAAUCCUCAGAUUCUCAAACGGAUGUUGUUGGCAGCACAGGACCAACUCCAAGACCAUCAUUUGAGCAUCCACGUUCUUCCCAUCAUUCCAGGCAUCGAAAAAGUUUGCCCUUGUUCCGAGAUUUAACACAUGGAAGCUAACAUCAUCUUUUCAACAUACAAACAGCAGGUGGGUGCUCUUUCAAAAGUCACUCCCUAACAAAAGAUUUCCUUGUGUUGUACAUGAAAUAGUAAAAAAAGGGGUUCAUAUUACCUAUAGUUUUGGUGUUUACACUUUGAAAUCUUCACCAUUCAUGAUUUUUAUUUUGGGAUCAUUAAGGUUUGAUGUGGGGGGCCAUAAUUUUCAUGAAUGGUCAAGAUUUCAUGUGAUCUGUAGGUGAUAUGAAGCUUUAAUAGCAUUGUUUGAGUUCAUUAAAUUGGAUAGGUAUAUUCAUUUAGGAUGUUGAAAAUUCACAGGCUUGAAAGUUAAUAGGUGUUGCCCUACAUUUUCUGUAUCGGUGCCAUCAUAGAAGUAAAUAUGAUUCCAUUGGUUUACAUGUAUAGCUCUGUAAAUCUAAGUUAUAGGUUUGCUUUUUUGCCCAGUGUUGUAACUUAUUUAAAUAUUCAGUGUAUACACACAUUUACAAGGAUGUUUGAGUAAAUGUUUGUCAAAACCUUGAAUCAUUCUCUAUCUGAAUACGUUUACUUUUCAAUUUCGAUUUGAACUCUGAAAAUCGAACUCAAACACUAUUCUGUCCAAAUUGAUGAUUUAGAAUAACAGCAACUCAAAUCUAUAUUAACCUUCGGACAGAAAGUGUCUGAGUUUUAUUGUAAAUUAGUUUUAUAUCAUAAAUAUGGCACUUCUAAUCAACACCGUCGCUUUGGCCGAGUGGUUAAGGCGUGUGCCUGCUAAGUACAUGGGUUUCACCCGCGAGAGUUCGAAUCUCUCAGGCGACGAUUUAAAUUUUAAAAUUUUUUCCACUAUCAUAUUUUUAUUUUUUGCCACGCCGAUACCUUCCUCUACCCGCGUAGUACUUGAUCAGAACUCCAAUCACUCCGGGGAAGCCCUGUCUCGCUUCGAAGUCAAACCCAAACACAAAUGUCAAUUCCAAGGCCCGCUUUAUUGUUCUUUACUUUCUUUUACUCCCCCCAAUUUUAGCUUCGCUGCCGUCUUUCAACUCUAUCUCUCCGGUCUCCGUGUCGGAAAUGUCAAUAUCAUCAGCCCCAAGCUUCAACCUCUCAACUUUCUCCAAUGGCGGAGCUAACUAUACAACUACGAAUAAGGUGAUAGGGACUAGAGCUUUCGCUUGUCUUAAAUAUAUUAAUAGCAUCGAAUCUCGUUUGAAAUUAACUUCACCAGUAUCAGUUCAUACGCACGUUUUAACUUUCACGAACCGCGACUUUUCGGUUCGCUGCGUUAGGCCGGAUUCUACGGGGAACACAAUUAGUGGUUCACUAGAAGGGGAAAAAGGUAAUUUUGAUGAUGAAUCUAGGGUUGCAGAGAUUGGAAGUGGUGAUCGACAGAUAGAUGACUUCGGCGGCGGCGGCGGAGAUAAUGGAGGCGGUGGUUCAUUCGGUGGCGGCGAUGGCGGUGAAGGUGACAGUGAAGAUGAAAGAGAGUUUGGGCCAAUAUUGAAGUUUGAGGAUGUGAUGAAGGAAGUGGAAGCUAGAGGAGUGGAGCUGCCUCCAGACAUGAUGGAAGCUGCGAAAAGGAAUGGAAUCCGGAAAUUGUUCCUUCUUCGUUACUUGGAUUUGCAGGUCGGAUUAUAAAGCUUUUACUUUUACUCUUUUUUUUGUUGUUGAUUUUGUUUGAUUGAUGAGAAAAUGGAGGGAAAAUAAACUGAAAUAAAAGUGUGAAUCUUCAUUUUCAAGGAAUUUGCUUACACAAGCAACUAAUAGAGAAAUUUGCUUCAUUUGAUAUUGAGUAAUAGUACAAUUUCUUAUCAUGGUGUUUAAUCAGGAAUAACUGUAUUCUAGGGUCAAAAAGUACUUUAAAUUUUUGUUUAGGUCAAUUGAAUACUAAUGCAAAUUAAGGAUAAAAAGUGGCUUAGAUUGUGUUGGUUCUUGUUAGUUUCCUCUGUUUUACUUUUACAUUUGCAGCAGUUAAUUGUUUUUAUCAUUUUUUUUAUGAGUAGGCUAUCUUAUGCUCUCACUUUUCUUUUACCUUUUUGACAGGAAUCAGUUUGGCUACUUGGCUUUUUAAUAAAAUACUGCUCUAUGCUCCGGAACCGAAUGCUCGCUGAUCCUUCAUUUCUUUUCAAAGUUGGAACUGAGGUUUGUUGAGUGUCAUUUUUAUAUUUAUUCGCAGGAUUAGCUAAAUGUUAAUGUUUUCUGAAAGUUUUUCAUAACCAUGUUAAGGCAAUAUGAAUGUACUACCAAGUGACUAUUUACAUUAACCAUAUACGUUGGUGCCUGUCUCCUCAUUAUGCUGUGACUAGCAUGAUAACCCUAACUAUAGUUUAGGGGCAUGUAGUUGUGGUUGGUGCUUCAGUUUUCCACUUUUGAUUUUUUUCGUUUGAUGACAUGAUGCAGAUAGUAAUUGAUUCUGGCUGCGCAACAUAUGCGGAAAUGAAGAAAAGGGGAAAGGAUUUUUGGGCAGAGUUUGAGUUGUACUUUGCCGAUCUUUUGGUCGGUAUAGUGGUUGACAUUGCUUUGGUUGGUAUGUUAGCACCAUAUGCUCGUUUUGGUCAACCAUCUGCAUCCAGAGGAUUAUUUGGUAGCUUCCAGCGUGCUGCCUCUGUUCUUCCUAGCAGGUUAUUAUAACAUAACAACAGCUUUUGUCUUAUGAAAUUCUGAGCUCCUAGUUUCAUGGUUGAAUUUUAUGUAUUCCUUUGAGUUUGUUCAUUGGUAGAUAUUCUUGCUGUUUGAUACUACAGUAGAUUUCAAGCUUGAGAUAUUUGUUCUUUAGGUAAAACAAAAAGUUUCAUUUUGCUCUUUUCUUGCUUUAUGUGUUUUUCUUGCCUCCUAUCUAGUUCCAACUUUAUAUGUUACUCAGAUUUAAGUAAUUUUUAAGACAAUGUCAACUGUUCUACUAUUGCAGUGUUUUUGAAGCUGAAAGACCAGGAUGUAAAUUCUCAGUGAAACAACGGAUUGCAACAUAUUUUUAUAAGGUACCCAGAGCUGAGUAAUCAAUGAAUUAUAUGGAAUGUUGAAGCAGGGAGGUGAUAUUGCUUCAUGUUCUGAUUAAAUUAUGAUGACUCAUUUACUUAGCCCUUAGAGAAUUGUUGUAGAGUAUCAUUUUCUUGCAUCGUCAUAGCUCUUUGCAUUUCCUCAUACAGUUCCACUACCAGUGUCUUCUGCUGUUAAUGUAACAUUUUUUUCCUCUUCAAAAAAAAGGAAAAGAAAAGAAGGAUCAAGGACAUUUUCUGUUUUUUAGCUUAUUUGUUGGCUUAUUUUGGAUCCAGGGUGUUUUGUAUGGCUCAGUAGGGUUCGGCUGUGGUAUUGUUGGCCAAGGCAUUGCAAAUCUGGUAAUGACUGCCAAAAGGUACAGUUUUCUCGUUGAUACUUGUACCUUUUCAUGGUUCACCGGUUAUACUCAAGACUGUCUUGGCGUUUGUUCCUGCCAAAAUUUCAAUGUUUUUUCCUCCAAUAAUUUGGGUUUACAAUGGAGUAUGUAGGCAAUCUAAUUGCCUUGUCCACUUCUUAGUCCCAUCUCUCAUCUUGGAAUGAUUUGAGUUGAGGUGCUUUAUCUGAAAGCAUUUAUAGUAUUGACUGUUUUUGUCAUUUCCUUUUGAGGUAUUUCUUACUUGUAUAACUCUUCUAAAUGAUCAGGAGCAUAAGGAAAUCAGAUGAUGACAUUCCUGUGCCACCUCUUCUAAAAAGUGCUGCUCUUUGGGGUAUGUUUAAGCCUAUUAAGAUUCCGACUUUUAACUUCAGUCCCGUACUUCUUAAUCAUUCUUUACUCCUGACGACCAUUUCAUUCAGUGCUCGAAGUAGUUGGAGCCUUGAAUGCUAUUUAAAUAACUGAAAAUCGGUUUUCAUCUCGAUCCUGCUUAAUGGUUUGCCAUCUUUAUCAGGUGUUUUCCUCGCGGUAUCUUCCAACACCCGUUAUCAAAUUAUUAAUGGAUUAGAGCGUCUGGUAGAAGCAUCGCCAGUGGCGAAGCAGGUUCCACCAGUUGCAAUGGCCUUCACAGUAGGUGUGCGGUUUGCCAAUAAUAUAUAUGGUGGUAUGCAAUUUGUAGAUUGGGCCAAAUGGAGUGGAGUGCAAUAGAGCAAAGCAAUAUCCUUCUUUCUGCCAGAUCGGAAGACCCACCACCAGCCAGUGUGGCCAUGACAAUCACAAAAAUGACACCCAGAGAUAGGAACAAAAUUAAAGAAUUAGAUACAUAGGGUGGUUGAAUGAUUUUUCCGUUAAGAGAAGCUUUCUUUUCUUCAUCUUCAUCUUCAUCAGGCUUUCGAUCAUGACAAGCCAUUUGCAUGGAUUACUAAAAUUCCGUGUUUUAGGUCAGUAUUGCUGUUCAUGUGGAGUUUUUCUUUUUUAGAAAAUUCCCCUCUUAAUACUUGGACUUAUAAAUUAUUUUAACUGCCUUUUCCUUAAUAGAUUAAAAUAUAAACUAAAUAUGUUUCGGAUAUAUCAGUUUUUUUUUCAAGUUAGAGGCAUAAGGUAAAUUACUUGCUCAAUUUUGAUGCAUUUGACAAAACGGCACUCUGGUUUCAAUUCAAUCAUUCAAUUUUCGAAAAAUAACAAAACAAUGCUUUUAAUCAUUUUCCGUCACAAACAUAACGGAAAAGUGACAUGGCAUUUAACGGAGUCUUUGUUGUCAUUAACCGGCUAGCUGGACAAUUAGCACCAAUUUAAACAACCUAAUUUAGCACCAAUUUAAGGUUUAGGCAAUAAAAAAAGAGAAAAAGAAGAGGAGGAAAAGGAAUUGAGUUGUUAACCUUGUGACCCGAUUCAAAUUCCUUCAAAGGAUUGGGCUUACCUCACUUCAACCCCAGCUUUCGUCGCUGACCUUCCCUACCGCUCUUCUUCUGAUCCAUAUCUUAUCCUCCUUUGUUACAAUACCCAGUUUGAUUUCGACUUUGGGAUCUUGGUAAUCACUGACCUAACCCAGAUUUUCACUUGUCGGCAUUUGGUUGUCCCUUUGGAAUAACCGCUUACUUUGUUCCGAAAAUCAUGAGUUCAAUCAAUUGUUUGGUUUGUCUAGAUGUUCUCCUUGUUUUGCUUCUGAUUUUGUUUUAUGCAACUUGAUAAUGUUGGCAAUGGAGUUUCUCCUCUUUUGUUUUUCUUAUGUUAAUUUUGUUUUGCUUCUGAUUUUGUCUGGAUGUUCCCCUUUUGUUUAUAUCAUAUCGUAUCUCAAACUUGAUAAGUUACUUUGGAAGAUUUCCCCUCACCGAUUUGGUUGUGAGUACUGAUAGUUUGACCCCAAAUUGUCUUCAAUCCCAUUUCAAUCUGGUUUUUUUAGAAUUAAUGACUUUGGGCAGCAGAAAAAGACAGUUGGAUCCCAACUGUGGUGCCUCCUCCAUUGGGGGGUUGAAAAAGAAAAAAAGGACAGGGUGGUGGUGGUUUGAAGGUCAACGAUGGUGAUGCCAAAGAUGGUUGUGGUGGAGGCGUCGACGGUAAGAUUAUUGGGAUGGAGAAGAAGUAUAAACAUAUUGGGCCAUUUACGCAAAAAGUAAAAAAAUAAUAUUGGGUCAUUUAUUAAAAAACAGUCACUCAACUUUAGCUCGUCCAACUUGGCAAGUUAACGGGCCACGUCAGCUAGUUAACUGGUCACGUCACUUGUUCCGUCAGGUCUAUAAUGGAAAAUGUUAAUGGGUGACUGAUUUGUCACUUUUCGAUAAUAUUAGUGACUGCUUUGUUAUUUUUUGAAAGUUGAGUGACUGAAUUGAAACUAAAGUGACUAUUUGGUCAGCUGCAUCAAAGUUGAAUGACUGUUGAUGUAAUUUACCCUUACAAAUAAUACAUUCAAACUAUAAUUAAGAUCAUAUAUAUAAUAUAUAAGGUAAACUAUACAAAUAGUCAUUUAACUAUGCUUGUGUUCUUAUUUUGGUUAUCCAAUUUUAAAAAUUUUCAAUUUAGUCUUGUUUUAGUCACCUGCAAUUUAACAGAAAGCUUUUUUCUAACUGGUAUGAUAACACAUUCAUACUUCAAUACUUACAUAUUUUAUUAAUUUGAUCUUAGUUCUAAAUAAUUCAAUAAAUUUAACUCCACACUUACAAAUUUUAUCAAGUUCAUCCUCGAAUUUCCUAAUCAAAACUUUUAACUUUUAAAACAAAAGUAUUUCACGUUUAUAAAUUUGUAAAACUCAAAAAAGAAAGAAAGAAAAACUUAUCUCAACUAACGACUCGUUUUCGAGUCAAUUCCUAAUAUCAAUAAGGUUACCUUAAUUUUUUUUUAAAUAUAAUAUUUUAUAAUCCUUUGAUUGAUAAAAUUUUGGUUAAAGAAAAUAGAAAAUCUUUUGAAAAAACACUUUAGAUGUACUCUUAUUGUUAACAGUAUGAUAUUCCUUCAAGCUACAUAGAAAUAAUACUCAAAUUGGCCUUGAAAUUGGAAAUUAAAUCCAGAGUUAAAAAAUAUAGCUUUGAAAAAUCUAAUUGUUCAAUCAAUAAUUAUAUAAGAAAAUUUAUAAACAUUUGGGAUUAGUAUUUAAGGUUUUUUCUGUCCUUUGAGAGUUUUUCCUCUGCUACUACAGCUUGUUUUCCUCUACUUAUAUAGCCGUUUUCUAGGUUUUGUUAUUCUUUUUUUCAUUGGUGGUCUGGGUGUUAUGAGGGUUUCGGGUUCUGAGAUGGCUGAUGUGAAAGGGGAUUUUCAAGUGCUGUCGCUAGAAGAUGCUGAAGAAGAGGAAGCUGUCAGAUUAGAAGAACAUGUCUCUAGUACUGGAGAAUCGCUAGAGAAUUGCCUCGUCAGAACAUUUCUAACACGAGCGUGGUUAAUUUUUCGUCUAUGAAAGCCACUUUGGUGAAUGUUUGGCAUCCUAUAAGAGGGAUCGCAAUUUCUGGUUAUCUGAUGGGAGAUUUCUGUAUAGACUGUUUCAUAAGGUAGAUGCUGAUCGUAUAGAAGCGAGAGGACCAUGGAAUUUCAAUUCACAUCUUCUGAUCUUGCGAAGGUUACAUGAUGGAGAUGAUCCUAAGACUAUCCCAUUAAACACCGUUGAUUUUAGGGUUUUAGUGCAAGAACUUCCUCAUUGAGUUAAUUCAGAACUGGUGGCUAGAAAAAUGGAGAAUUUCAUUGGGAAGUUUAUCGAUUAUGAUUGUAAAGCUAUCACUCUUAGCUAUACCGAAGUUUUGAGGGUAAGGGUUAGGGUGGAUGUGGAGAAACCGCUAAAACGAAAAAGAAAAAUAGUUCUGCCAAAUGGAUAAGAUUUGUGAAAUUUGAUUACGAAAAAUUAACUCUUUUUUUGUUUCCUUUGUGGAAAGUUAGGCCACAGAGAGAGCUUUUAUCCAUUAUAUGUUUUGCAGGAUGAUCAGGAGCUUUCUUUUGGUUGGGACAUUUCUUUGAAGGUUCUGUUUAGGCGUGCGGUGGCCCCAUCCAACAGGUGGUUGAGGGAGGAGGGUGGUGGUACACCAGAAGUGAAAUUGAAAAAUUUUAGGGGAACACCCCUGUCAUGGGAAAUAUAGAGGCGAGAUUGGUGCGACCUGGUAAUGGGCAAUUAAGGGCGAAUCUUGGGCGGGUAAAUGAGGAAAAUUUGAAUCCAUAUGUUUUGCCUGUGGGAUAUGGUCAGAAUCAGGGGUUAAAUUGGAGGAAUAACAUGAAUUUGGUUAUAACGCAAGAUGAGCCAUCAAAUAGGCUUUCAAGUGGUGGUUUUGAUGAUGUUAUGAGGGAGGAUGAUCCAAUGGUUAAUGGGGAAGGCUUGAAGCUGCCUCACCUUCAUUUGGAUAAUAGUGAAGGAAAUAAUAAUGGAAAUGGUGAUAAAUACCAAAAUGAAAUAUCGAUAGGCCUCGCUCAGCGGGUCAACCGAGAGCAAUGAGGCUCGUUAACUGGAACGUUCGGGGCUUAGGUAACCCCAGGACUGUUUGUUGUCUUCGGCACACACUGAAUGACAGUAACCCCUCUGUAAUUUUUCUGGUGGAAACCAAAUUACAGAGUAGGUGGAUAGAGGGUUUUCGGAGAUCAUGUGGUUAUUUGAAUGGUAUUUAUGUGUCUUCGGUGGGGAGCAGUGGGGGGCUCUGCCUGGGAUGGAAAUCGAGUAUUUCUGUUACUUUACGGUAUUUUUUAAUAGUCAUAUUGAUGUCCUGAUUAAUGAAGAUAUUAAUGAAAAAUGUUGGCGAUAUAUUAGUUUCUAUGGAGCGCCGCAAGAAACUCGCAGGGAAGAUUUAUGGCAACUGUUGCGGCAAUUAAAUGAUUGUCCUAUUAUUCCAUGGCUUUUAUUCAGGGAUUUCAAUGAAAUAUUAUUUUCUUUUGAAAAGAAAGAUGGCUUGCUUCGUAAUGAUAGACAGAUGCAAGCUUUUAGUGUUGCCUUUGAGGAUUGCGAGCUUGAGGAUCUAGGGUAUGAUGGUGUAUGGUACACUUGGGAACAUGGGCGGUUUGCUAGCAAUAACAUCAGGGAAAGGUUGGACAGGGCUGUUGCUAAUGGUGUGUGGAGUACAACUUUUCAGCUUUACAAAGUAUCUCACUUUACACAUUCCUUUUCAGAUCAUAGUCCAAUUGUUGUAGAUAUGGAGGAUGAUGGCCAUAGAAAUUGGUUGUGGCAUUUUAAAUUUGAGGCAGCUUGGCUUCUUGAAAAAACAUACAAAACUGAGAUGGCACGCCUUUGGAAUGAUUCAGACGGUACUAUACCUGAAAGAUUGAGCUAUGUUUGUUGUAGUCUUGAUAAGUGGUUUAAGCGGGUUCGUAGAGAAAAAAGAAGAAUUAACGUGUCCUCUUUGCGUUCUCCUAUUGCUCCUUUGGGUUCACUAACCCCAACAGAUGCUGUGUUGGAGGGGAUGCUGAAUGUUAAAUUGCAUAUGAAUAUUGAGGUUGAUAAAGAGGGGAUCUAUUGGGAAAAACGGGCACGAGAAAAUUGGUUAAAAAUGAGGAUAGGAACACUGUCUUUUUUCACAAGUUUGCAUCUCAAUGGAAGCAGCUGAAUAGAAUUAAAGGGGUGUGAGAGUGGGAAGGAUUGCACAUGAUUAUUUUGUUAAUUUGUUUGCAACACAGGGUGUCAUUGAUGAGGAUGAUAUUCUCUUGGGUGUUGAUAGGUGUAUCACAGACUCGAUGAAUGCUGAUUUAGAUAUACCAUUCACUAAAGAGGAGAUUUUUAGUACUUUGUUGUCAAUGUCACCUCUAAAAGCUUUAGGUGAUGAUGGUCUAGGAGCGGUUUUCUAUCAGCGUUUUUGGCAUAUCUUGGGAGAUGAAGUGGCUGGUUAUUGCAUUGGUCUUUUAAAUGGUGAGUUCCCUAUAAACCUUAUUAAUCAUACGUAUAUUGUUUUAAUUCCAAAAGUUAAGAGUCCUCGCAGCAUGAUGAAUUUUUGUCCCAUAAGCCUUUGUAACGUAUUGUAUAAGAUUUCUUCAAAGGCUUUGGUGAAUAGGUUUUAAGAAGUUCUUUGGUUCUGCAUUGAUGAGGCAUAAAGCACAUUUGUGUUGGGGCGUCUUAUUUCUGAUAAUAUUGUGGCCGCUUAUGAGAUUCUCUAUUUCAUGAAAAAUAAAAUAUUUGGUAAAGAAGGGUCAUUUGCUCUCAAGUUAGAUAUGAGCAAGGCAUACGAACGUGUUGACUAGCGGUUCAUUGAAGAGAUGUUAUUGAAAAUAAGUUUCUUGGUCAAUUAGGUAGAAUGGAUUAUGCGGUUCAUCACAUCAGUUACUUACUCGAUUGUGGUUAAUGGGAAUGUGAGAGAUAAGUUUACGCCAUCUCGAGGUCUUCGGCAGGGAGAUCCUUUGAGUCCAUAUCUGUUCUUAGUUUAUAGUGAGGGUCUUUCGACUUUGCUUAGGUUUGCGAAAAGUAGUGGUGCGAUAAAGGGAGCAAGAGUGGUGAGAGGGGCCCCAAGGGUUACUCAUUUAUUGUUUGCAGACAACAGACUCAUUUUUGGGUAUGCCACGGCAAUGAGAGCAUCGAAUGUCUUGAAGGUGCUUCAAUCAUACACCAAGUGUUCUGGUCAGUUGGUCAAUUUUGAAAAAUCUAGAGUUUUCUUUAGUUCAAAUAUAGACAUGGGGAAUAGGUUAGAUGUGAAGAGAAUUCUGAGGGUUCAUCAUGCUGAUAAUUGAGAGAAAUACUUGGGUUUACCUUGUAUGGUUGGUCAGAACAAAAAGUGGGCUUUUGCUAGCCUAAGAGAUAAAAUUCGAAGUCGAAUAUCUUCUUGAAGUACGAGGCUGUUAUCUAUGGGUGGCAGGGAAGUUUUCAUUAAAUUCAUUUUCCAAGCAAUUCCAAUAUACGCUAUAAUGUGUUUUUUGUUGCCAAGAACUUUCUGUAAAAAAAUUGAAGGUAUUCUAGCUAAGUUUUGGUGGCAGAAGGCGGCUAACAAGAGAGGCAUCCAUUGGUGUACUUGGUCAUUUUUGAGUAACCUGAAGGAUGAUGGAGGGAUGGGGUUUAGGGAUCUUACGAAGUUUAAUGUCGCUUUACUAGCGAAACAGGGAUGGAGAAUUUUAAUACAUCUUACGUCGUUGAUGGCGCGUAUUCUAAGGGCCAAAUACUUUCCUAAUACAAGAUUUCUUAGUGCUUAGUUAGGUUCCAAACCAUCAUUCGUUUGGAGGAGCAUUUGGAGUGCCAGGAAAUUAAUUGAGAUGGGGCUUAAAUGGAAUGUGGGGAAGGUGAAAGCAUUAAUAUUUGAGAGGACUGUUGGGUGCCAAUGUCUUUAUCUAGAAGAGUUUGAACUUCUAGAUCAGGUAAUAUUGAGAGGGUAUCUGAGCUUAUUUUGCCAAAUAGAAUGGGUUGGAAUCGAGAUUUGAUUGACUUACUUUUUGUAGCUACUGACACAAUUCUUAUUCAAGGUAUUCCUUUACCAUCUGUUCCUCAAGAGGAUUGACUCGUGUGGGGCAGUGAACGUUCGGGUAUCUACUCUGUUCAUAGUGGUUAUCGUUUAUUACUCCAACAACCGACUUAUUUAUCAUCUAGACAUGAAGUUUUCAAGCAAAUUUGGGCAACUAAGUGUCCCCCGAAAAUCAAAAUAGCUUUGUGGAGAUCUGUUCAUGGUUUUGUAGCCACUAGAUCAUGCCUAUACAAUAAAAGAGUUACAAAUAACCCAAAUUGUCCAAGGUGUAAUGUUGAUCACAAUACGGAGAACCAUGUGUUAAGAUUUUGUGCUAAAGCGAGAGAUGUGUGGGUAAUGAUAGGUUACCCAUUGCAUGUGGUUAGUGCUCGAAUGGAUUCUCAUGAGUGGCUUUCUUGGAUAUUGAAGAUGCAUCAUACAACAAAGCGUAAUGAAAUUUGUCUUACACUAUGGGCUAUAUGGUUUGCUCGGAAUCGUAUGGUGCAUGAGGGAACAAACCAGCGUAUGGGUGAGAUUGUUAGCUUCAUUCGCAGUUAUUGUGUGAAAUUGGUGUCUGUGAUUCCUACAAAUAAUUGUAUAGUUUCUGGCAUUCAAGUUCGGUGGUCUCUGCCACCUAUAGGAGUGGUUAAAAUAAACAUUGAUGCUAGGUUUAGAUUAAAUCAAAAGACGGCUGCAGCAGGGGUUGUGGUUCGAGAUGAAAACAGGAAAAUUUUGGGGGCUUUCAAUCUUUGCAGCAGAAGCAGUUGCGGUGAUACACGGGCUCCGAUUUGCUAAAGAGUUAGGUUUUCUGUCAAUAAUGGUCGAAGAAGAUUCAAGAUCUGUUACUAGGAAGAUUAAUAACCAUGAACAGGAUUUCUUGGAUAUAAGUGCUCUUACAUGGUCUGCAAAGGAGAUAGCGAAGGAGUUUCAGGCCUGCGCCUUCCACUUCAUUGGCAGUGGCAGAUCUGGGAAUAAAACAGGUCAUACAAUGGCACAAGAGGGAUUAAGUCGAGGCGAGGAUGGCUACUGGGUCGAAGAUGCCCCUGCAUUGGUAGAAGCAGUGGCUACAAAAUACUGUCGUCUUCAUGAACCUUCAUAGAACUGUUGGUUUUCUUCGAAGGGUUGUGAGGAUUUGCGUUCUGAUGACUCCAGUUCUUGUUUGGUUGCUCUCUAUCCAGUAUUAUUAAUGAUCUUGUUUGAGCAACUAUCGGUCGGAAUCCCACGACUAAGGGAUUCAUUUUAGUGUUUUUCUUAUAAUUGUUGGUUCUUUUAAUUGUUUUUCUUUGUUCCAUUCUUCAAUAAAGAGACCGAUGAGUUCAAAAAAAAAUUGAAAGAGUUAAUUGAAUUUCCUUUUAUUACAUUGAUAAUUAUUUUUUUUAUAAACUCAUAAGAGAUUAUUAUGUGUUCUAUUUAUUUUUAAUUAUUUAAAUCUACAAUGAGUAACAUAUAUCACUAAAAAUCUGAUUUGGUGUCAAAUUAUUUACCAAAUUAAUUAAAAACUAAAUUUAUACUAGUCAAAGAGAAAAACUAGUUUUUACAAAUAUUGAAUUAUUUACAUAAUUUUAUUAUAUAUUAUAUUGUUAAAAUUUGUAUUUUCUAUUAUUUUUAAUGGUAUUUAGUUAAUUUCUAACACUAGCUUCUUAAAAAUAUGAACAAAAAGGGUUAUGUACCAAAUUAGAUAAUUUCAACCAUAAGUAAAACAAUUAAUAGAUGUGAAAUGCCUUUGUCUUAAAAGUUGAUAGAAUUUGUAAUGUGAAGGGUUAAAUGAUUAAAUUGAUAGAAUAUGUAAGUAUUGAGGAUUGAAUGUGUUAUUAUACCAAUUAGAAAAAGACUUUUCAUUAUCAAUUGAAUGGCGGGUGAUAUAAACAAGAACGAAUUUUGACGUUAAUGCUUAAAUUGAAAUAUUUUAAAGUUGGUUAACCAAAACAGGAACGCAAGCAUAGCCGAGUAAUCAUUUGUAUAGUUUACUCUAAUAUAUAAAAUAAGAAACAAAAGUAUAUAUGAAAACAUUGAAAUUUAGAUUAGUUCUUUAAAUUUCAAAAUAUUUCCGUUUUUAGUUAUAUUUAAACUAAAGAAUUAAAUUUUAAUAAUAAAUGAUAUUAAUUAAUAAAUAUAAUAAAGUAAUUUUUUUAAUUUACAUUUUAUUUUUUAAAACAAGAAAAUAUAUUAUUUUUCUUAUUUUUGUUUAGAAGAAAAUAAUGAUGUAAUCUUUGGUAAAAACAAAAUUUAUUGUACUUCUAUUUUAUUUUUUAUAAUUUUAAUUAUUAAAAUAAACAAACUUAUACUGUUAUCUAUAAUUAAAUGUAAAUAAAAAUUAUUUUAAAUUUUAUUUAAUUAAAAUUUAAAUCGUAUGGAAUCGAGAAAAAAUUUAAUCAAUUUAUUCAUACAAGGGCACAAAGAAACAAACAUUAAUGCCAUGAGAUAUCAGGACCAAAUGGUGACGUUUGUGAUGCUACCCUCCAAAUGAAGUGAUUCAUCGGAUGGUAUCCAUGUUGUGUCCUAAGAUGUACCUGCUGCAGUAGACUGCGAAUAUCAUCCCUCAAGGGUUUUAAUUUCCAAUGCACACUGGAGGGUUUAGAAAGUACCGAAUUCCAUUUGUUGUCAUUGGUAAUGACAAGAGGAUAGUGAACAACUUGAAUAUUUACCAGUUUAAGGAGAAAGUAAGGAAGAAGGGCUGCAUCAUGCAAGGUUGAAUACAUUGAUAUCCAAGAAUAUUAAUUAUUUGUUUAAUAAUUAAGAGAGAGGAAUGAAAUUGCUUGAGGUUAAACCCAAGUUCUCAUAUUACAACAUAAUGUUUUUACUAUUGAGUUAAAAGAUUUAUUGACAAAUUUAAUUAUUUAAUAUACAUUCACUUUUAAUUAUUUUUCAUAUUUACGGUCGAAUUUAUAAAUCAAUGGAAUAAAGAUAACAUAAUCUUUGUUUAUUUAAAUUAUAAAGAUUUUUUUUAUUUAAUUUUUAAACCAUUUUUAAUACCAUAUAUCUAAACUAACAAAUGAGACAUUUAUAUUAUUAUAUUUUUUAUAAAAUUUUAAGUGAAAUGAUAUCAUUUAAAAAAUAUUUUAAAUAAUUUAAUGUAUACGCAUAUAACCUGUGCAUGACAUGGAUAAAAAAGCUAGUUAAUAAAAUGUAGAUGAAAAAAAAAUGUUUUAAGGAAAAUUAUUAGAUACAUUGGUAGUGGAAUUUUUUAAACGCUACAAACGAGUUAAAGGUUUGACAAAUAUAAGUGUAAUAAAUGUAAUAUUUGUCAUACUCUCAACCCGAUUUCACUGACAGCGUUACCUAUGCAAAUUAUAAGUUCCAAAAAUAAUAGAUUGAAUGUAAACUCUAAACUAUAUAAGUCUAAAUUUCGAACAUACCACCAUUUUAAACUUUUACUAGGAUAAAAAGAAACAAUAAAAGAAUCGAAAAAGCAAGAUUUUCUAUAGAAGGAAAAGAAAAACAUUUUUUUGCUUAAUAAAAAAGAAGAGGAUCAAAAGUGGAUUAUUAUAGUCUUGAUAUUUAAAACCUAUAACAUCAUUAGUAGAGGUGUUCAUAGUUGAUUUGGGUCAAGUUUGGCUCAGUCUAAAUAUGAUAUUAAUAUUUUAUGUUUAUUUAAACUCAACUCGAUUUGAAAUAUGGGUUUAAAAUUUUGUUCAAACCCGCUCAUAUUUAUAAAAGAUUAACCCAAGUGCAUUUCAGGCUUGCUCAUCUUAUUUUUUAAAUAUUUAUAUUAUUUUAAUUUAAUGUUAAUUAUUUUUUAUAUUUUUUAUAUAGUCAUCUUAAUAUUAUUUUAAUGUUUAUAUUAGAGUAGUAUUAUAUAUUUAGUAUAUGUUUAUUUUUUUAAUAUGUUAUAAAUUACAUAAUAUAUAAAAAUAACAUAAUAUAUAGUAUUAUAAACUUCAAAACGGAUUGGGUCAGGCUUAAACCUUAAAUGUUCAAGUCCAAACCUGACUCAUAUUUUAAAUGGACUUAAUUUUUUUCCAAGCUUAAUAUUUUUACUUAAAUCCUCUUAAAUUUCGGACGGACCUUAAGGCUUGAACGAAUAGCUCAACGCAUGAAGAGGUCUAAUCAUUAAUAAGCAAUGACAUAACUCCCAAGCAAAAGAUAGAAAAUAUAGUGCAAGUGUUAAGAAGCAGGUAAUUUUUAGCAAUAAAGCCGGUCACCAUAAAUUAUGUAUCGAUAUCUCUAUCAUAUCAAUCUAAAAUAUUGUCGAUCUAAAAUAGCUAAAAAAAAUUAUUUUAUGUCAAGCUUGACAUUCAUGAUUUACAUGAAUGUGUAGUUAAUAUGUUUUAUAAUUAUGUGUUUUGACAAAAAAAAUGUGGAAAUCUAUGUUUAUGUGUAAAUGUGACACGUGGCUUAAUUCAAUUGGUUAGAGCUCGGAGUUUAGGUGAUGAGAAGGGCUUAUGUAAUAAUUUUUCUUUUAAAAAAUUUAAAUAAUAUAUUUAUUUGACACGUGACACUCUUGAUGAUUGUCGAAAUCACCAAAUAUAAAUUUUCUAUGCUCUAACUGAAUUAAAUAGUAAUUUAGAGAAGUAGAGUCGAUCCCAUAGGGACUGGAAUUCCUAAUACCGUUUUUACGUGACUAGAUUCUAAAUUCGUGGUAGCUGUUGUGCCCACGACUUGUCGCGUGCUGAACUGAAAAAUAAAUAAAAGGGAGUUUUAGUUGAUAAAGGUUAAAACAAUAAAUUGAAUAGAACGAAAUAAUAACAUAACAAUAAUUGCAAAAUAAUAUUAAAUAAUUGAAAUUAAAUUGGUAAAUCAAAUAUACAAAUUCUUAACCUUAGACUCGGUAAAAUUCAGUUUUGAAUCGAUCUUUGAAAGUGAUUUUUUCCUUCCAAAUGAUAAGCUGAUUAUAGCGAUCAAUGACACAUCAACCGCCACCUCUUCCUUGUUUAGUUGAUUCCGAUACGAUUAAUUUGUAUAUUUUAAUUUCUAACAAAACUUGGCUUGUAUAUUUUUACAAUGUUAUUAAUUAAUCUAAAUAGUUAAUAUAGUUAACUUUCCGAUUAAAAUAUCAUGUGGUUAUAUAUAAUUUGAAUUCUCUGAGAGUAUUAGAAACUGAUACAUGGCUUUCCUUUUCUUUUAGGUUUGCAUUUUUUUUACAUUAUAUAAGAAAAUAAUAAAAUUUCAAUUUUAGCUCUAGACUAUGUUGAAACUUGAUAUUUAAUCUAUAUAUUUUAAUUUUUAACAUAAAUUGGUCUAUCUACUUUUAUAGCGUCAUUAGUUAAUUUAAAUAGUUAAUAUUGUUAAUUAUUUCAAUCAAAACGCUGAUUCAAUUUUUUGUUCUUAAGAACUUUAUUCUAAUAAAAAUGUCUUUUAUCGUGACAAUUUCAAAAUGGUGUUUUUAAGAAAAAUUCCUAAACAAUAUUUUCAAUGUUAUUUUGAGUGUUAUAUGAAAUCAAUUUUUUUUUUAAUUUCAAAACAUUACACUAGAGAAUUUUAUAGAACAAUUUUCUUGGUAGUGACAAUUGGACUUGAAUUUUUAAGUCCAAAAAGUAGAGGACUAAAUUCUUGACAAUAAAAGUAAGGGAAUUAAAUUUCAAAUGUAUGAAGCAUAUAGGGACCAAAAACAUAUUUUAACCUUCAAAUUUUUAGUUUAUAACUUGACACAAAUAAAUAAUCAACCAUCCCGAAUUGUGGGCCAUGAAAGAUACUAGUAAAAUACAUAUUAAAGAAUAGGGUAAACUAUACAAACAAUUACCCAACUAUUAGCGUAUUUCUAUUUUGACUACAUGGGUUUAAAAUAUUAUAUUUUAAUCACUAACAUUAUUAAAAUUUAAUAUUUUGGUCACUUCUCUGUCCAAUCACUAAUGGAGUGCUAACGUGGCCAUUUUUCAUUGGCAAAAUAAUAAACUUAACCCUCCAAUGAUUACAAAUUCUAUCAGUUUGGUCUUAAUUCUAAAAAUUCAACAAAUUUAACAUUCAACUUUACACAUUAUGUUAAUUUAGUCUUAAUUCUUCAAAUUUUAAAAUUAAAAAAAAUUUAAAAAAAUUAUUUAAAAGUUUAUUUUUCAAUAAAAAUACAUAAUAUUUUAUAAAAAUACACACAAAAUUAUAAAUAAAUGAAUACUCAUUUUCUCUUUUUCUAACAUUAAAUUAUUUAUUAAAUUAAAAGUUUUAUAAAUAAUUUUUUUUAAAACCUACAAACCAGACUUAAACCAUAUUCAAACAUUUCAUUUUUUAGUUUUAUUUUAUAAAUAAAAAAUUAUUUAUUAUACGCUUAUCUUAUUCCUUAGUCCUCACUAAAAUUGUCGAGUGUUGGGAACUACCUUCAACCACCGACAUUGAUAGCCCUUACUUCAAAUUCCUUAAUUUUUGCAUCUUUUGUCGUUGUGCUAUUGAAUUAGGAAUUAAUUGUAGAACUAACAAUAUGACCUUUUACCUAUUGGGUUUCCAAUACUUCAUCCUCUCCUAUGUAUCCUCAAUUAAGCCAGCAUUCAAGCACAUCCUUAAAUGCAACAAACUAGUUUUGGGCAACAACCUAAAAACGUUAAUCUUUACUAUUUCCGACCUCAGGUUGUAGUUUUUGACUCAACAAGGUGGUCAUUAAUGUUGAAAAAAAAGAAGGAAAAAGUUGAAUCUACUUAAGUCUUCCUCAUAUUUUCCCCUUAGAUUGUUUUAUUUAUAAAAUUAUCAUUUUAAUAAAAAAUGUUAUAUUAGAAAAUGAGAAAAAUAGAUGUUUAUUUAUAAAUAUAUAUUUUUUAUAAUUUUGAAUCUAUUUUUAUUGAAAAAUAAACUUUUAAAUAAAUUUUUAUAUUUUAAAAUUUGUUUAUUUUGAAUGCUUAAGAAUCAAGAUUAAAUUGAUAUAAUGUGUAAAUUUGAGAGUUUAAUUUGUUGAAUCUUUUAGAAUUAGGACCAAAUUGAUAAAAUUUAUAAACUUCGAAAAACUAAAUUUAUUAUUAUAUCAAUAAAAAAGGGUAAGAUCAUCAUUUCGUUAGAUUUUUUUAUACAACACUCCGUUAGGAUUUAACGAAUGAGUGACCAAAAUAAUAAAUUCAAACAACAUUAUUGACUAAAAUAAAAAUAAUUAAAUAUAAGUGACCAAAUAAAGUUUUAACCCAAAACACUAUCUUAGCUGUAAGCCUUUUUCAAAAGUCAAAGUCCAAUCAAAAUGUCAAAAAAAGUAAGCCCAGAAGACCCGACCCGAGAAAUCCAAAACCAAAACUGGACUGGAGUUUUUUUCUUUUAUUCAAAUCUAUCAAUUAAUUCAUGCAUUUAAAUAUUUAAUUAAAGAACAUAACAUAAAUAAAUAAAUUUAAAAAAUCAAUUAAAAAGAAAAACAAAGGAACAAAAAUUAAAUAAAAGUCGUCUCCAGACUUCACCUAUUCUCGACGGCUUAUUGUUCCAAAAUUUGGUCUAUCACCGCCACCACAACCACCGUCUCCCUUUUAGAUCAAUCUAUUCCCUCUCCCUCAACUCCUUUUUUUCGCCUUCGAGAAAUUAUCGAUUCCUUAAUGCCGGAUCGGUUUCUCCGUUGCCGUUGAUAGAAAAGAGAGAAACGAUCUGGAAAAUUGAGAGGCAGAUCCAGCGGGAACAAGAAGUGGAUCUGGUCGAUAAAGUGGAAUGGCAAUGCACGGGAUGAGAGGGCUUUCGGUUUUCAUAAGCGACAUUCGAAAUUGCCAGAACAAAGAGCAAGAACGUCAACGUAUCGAUAAAGAGCUCGGAAAUGUCCGUAGUCGCUUCAAAAAUGAAAAGGUUAGGGUUUCAAAGCUAAUUCUUUUUAAAAUCUUUCUUAAUUCUGAAGUCUAUGUUUACAGAAUGACCGGACUUAAUUUUAUGUUUUAAGUUUUCUAUGUGCUUCCAGUUGAAUUCAUUUAAUAUAAUAAUCAGUGAACUUUAUUUUCUUUUUCUACUUAGAUUUUGUUUUAGUGCAGAAGUCGAAGUUAAUUUAGCUAUUCAGUCUAUUUUUGGAGUUUAUCAUUUUGUUAUUUAUUUUCCUUUUUAUUAUAAUUUUUUAAGUAUUGAAACUACCUUAUUAUGCCCAGAAUAACUUUUUCAUUUAAAACAUAUGCAUUUGAACGCCAUUAAAAUUAUCAAUUUCUUUUUCCGUUUCGGUAGACUAUUAGCAGAAACUUAUAGCAAAUAAAUUUUUCAUAAUUUAUCAGGAAAAAGGUUCUUAAUUGUUUCAGAACGGUAGUGGCGGCUGCUUGAGUGAGCAAACUGCUAUCAUUUUAAGCUUUUACUGCCACAUUUCUUCUGACUAAGCGUAUACUGUUCGUAUUGGAAUAUAUAUAGGCUCAUUUUUACUGGGUUUUUGCUUUUUUACUUUCUACACUGUUUCAAUAUAAGGUGAAAAUGGAAAAACAAAAAUGAACUGAAAACAUGGGGAAAAAUAGCAAAAAGCACCAAGCACCAAGCAAAUGGAGCGAUAGAAUAUGUGGUGGGUAGAAGCUCAUAGUCUUUUAAGAAUUAUUUAGAAGCCUAAUUUAAGUGAAAACCUUCUCAAUGCUGUUAAGUAUGCUGCUAGCUAAUCAUGAGAAUCUCUCACAACUUGAUCUUCCAGUUAAAAACCUUUUAGGCACUGAACUCCUAACAUGUAUAUUUCUAUGGUCCCAUAGUUAGUAGGCAUCACUGUCUUUACACUGUAGCACAGCAGUUCUCUUAUCGAAUGAGCUUGUUGCAUUUGGUAAAGCAUAAAUUAUAUAGGGUUGCAGUUAAAAAGGUUUGAUGUAAUCAGUUUGCUCAAUUGGACUGCUGAAUGAGGUCCAUGACUCCUUUUGAAGAGUCAGUUCUGAUCAGUUUGGCAGUGAGGAUCAGGAAGAUGGUAUCGAUUGUAUUUUCAUACAAAACCAUGUCUAAAAAGCCAAACAUUUGAACUAUGUUGUUAAAUUUUAAAAUUAUAUCCCUUGGUGAGGAUAAUAACCUUUAAAGAUGUGUUUCCAUAAAUUGAUGAAUUUGGCAAUCGUUUGGCGUAUUUUAACUGCAAAUAUCUUUUUAUUUGGAUUUAUAGAUCUGGCUGUCUUUUAUAGUUAGGAGAUGUUCUUGAAGCCUUCAAUUAGUUUUGAUGUUAGCAGUACUGUUUGUAUUUCUCUCUAUCUCACCUAACCUCACCCUUUGAGCAAAUUUUUAUGUGGUUCUUAUUUGGGCUUUGCUACAUUCCUCUUUCAUGUUCUAUAUUGAAUGGAAAAAGACUUAAGGUUCUCAAUUUAGUUAAUGUUUCUUUUUCCCCCUUCCUCGCCACUGUAGUAAAAAAAAAAAAAAUCUUCUUGACAAUGACAGUUAUUAAAAUUUUCAGUAUUUUGUAUUUUUCCUUUGGAAGAAGUUGUGUAUACCAAUUACCAACAACUCUCUUAGAUUGUUGGGAAAUUUUAUUUCCAUGAUUUUUGCAUCAUCUUAUUAGUUUCAUCUUUAAUUCUCAUAAAGGUUCAUAUAAAUCAACUCUAGUCUCAGUAAGAAAUCUAAAUUGCAUUUGUUUUUGUUUCACAUUGAGCAUUUUAUCCAGCUUCAGACAUGCUAGAACAAUAGGUUCUAUUCUCUUCUACAGGAAACCAUAUAUGUAUUUAUCUAAGGGCUGUUGAUGAAUGUCAGCCUGUCUUUCAGCUUUAAGAAAGUAGCCUUGUUGUUCUUAUAUGAAGUUAUUUUUUCUCUUUUAUUUUUAUUGUUAACUUAUAUAGGAAGAGUUUACCUCAUUCUUUCAUGCAACAUUUGAAUCCUAGAACAAAAUUGUCAAAACACUGAUGUGGACCUUCGAGAACCACAUUGCAAAAGCUAGCUAUUGAGGUUGUAGAGCCUAGGUCCAUUUAAGCCCCUCAAGGAAAUUCCGUACUUUCCUAUGUGGGAUCCAAGUCCCAUACCUUGCAUUUGGGUCCAUAUCACACUGCCAGUUCCCUUUAGAAACAUUUAAACAGAACCUUUUAGUCCCUUGUUUGGUGACAAGGUCUUUUUAGUGCCUUAAGGAGCUGAGUGAGCAGUUUUUUUUAUUGAAAGUUCAUGUUAUUCUGACAGGGAUUGUCUCCAUAUGAGAAGAAGAAAUAUGUUUGGAAAAUGCUUUAUAUAUACAUGCUGGGUUAUGACGUUGACUUUGGUCAUAUGGAAGCUGUUUCCUUGAUAUCUGCGCCAAAGUAUCCAGAAAAGCAGGUAAGAUCCACUUUUCAUUUGCCCUUUAGUAUGAUUAAAAGCACAUUUGUGAGAUGUUAAAUGGAGGGAAAGACCUGGUAGAGCCAUGUUGUAGAAAUGACAAUCUGUUCAAGAGCCUGAAAGAAGAGGAAAUUGGGAAAGUUGUAUAACCAAGGCCUAAAGUAGUUAUAAUCAUUUCCUCUUUUCCCAAGAAAGAAAGAAAAUAAGGAAAUAAAACUUGAGUGUAUAAAGAGCUAAGAAGAUAGCAUGUUGGGAUGUCUCACCUGUGUCACUUGUCAGAAUCUGCCCUACCAUGAAAGUGUCUUCCUUUAUGCUUAUAACAGUUACUGUUACAUGCAAUGUGUCUCCAACAAUAAAGCUGGAAUGUUUUGCUACUGUUGAAGCAGUAUAAUAACCAUCACAUAAUUCUAUCCGAAUCUCUAAUGGGGCUGUAUGAAUCAAGUAAAGGAUUUAUUGUGGAGGCUUGGAUAAUUAAUAAAAUAAUUUCUGCAUGCUUCCAUUUUCUCUGCAGUUGUUUAACUUUUGUCCCCCCAUCAUUGAUUGCAGGUCGGAUACAUUGUGACUUCCUGUUUACUCAAUGAAAAUCAUGAUUUUCUGAGACUAGCAAUCAACACUGUACGCAAUGAUAUAAUUGGUCGAAAUGAGACUUUUCAGUGCCUUGCACUAACCAUGGUAAGGUUUAAAAAUUGCUAGAGGUUCUUGAUGUUCCAUGUAAUUAGAAUGUGGGAGGAGUUAUUUCUGAUUUACAUCAUCAAAUAGCUAUCAUACUACGUACUUAAUUCAGAUGCAUGCAGAAAGUUCAGAGCAGGAUUUAGUCCAUGACAUAUUUCUCUUUUCUAAAGAGAAGUUUUCAUUCACUUUUCUAAAUAUUAUUCAUCAUUUUAUAAUUUCUAUUGUAAGUCAUUGUUCCUGAAUCUGCAAUAGCGUUUCUUAUUAUUACUAUUGCUCUUGUUACCUUUUGUGGGUUGAUUUAUAGACACCUAAUAUUUUCCAUAUGUUUACUUCUAUCCUUUUUUUCUGUAUAUUAUACUCUUUUCCUGAAAUUAACUCUGUAGGUUGGGAAUAUUGGUGGGAGGGAAUUUGCUGAAUCUUUGGUGCCUGAUGUUCAAAAGUUACUUGUAAGGAACCAGAAACUUGUUAAGUACAAAUGUUCUGUUUAGAAAAUAAUUUACUGAUAAAAUCUGUUAUUCCAGCUUUCUAGCAGCUGCAGACCCCUUGUAAGAAAAAAAGCUGCAUUAUGUUUGCUGCGAUUGUAUAGAAAAAAUCCUGAUGUUGUCAAUGUUGAUGGCUGGUAUGUUAGAAUGUUAAAAUUUUUAUCCCAAAUGGCUGUUUUAUGAUACUAGUUGUGCUUAUUCUGAAUUUCUUUUAUUGCCCUAUGUUUAGGGCGGAUCGGAUGGCACAACUUCUAGAUGAGCGUGAUCUUGGUGUUUUGACAUCUUCUAUGAGCCUUCUUGUUGCUUUGGUAUCAAAUAAUCAUGAAGCAUAUUGGUCCUGCCUUCCAAAGUGUGUUAAAACAUUGGAGCGCCUUGCAAGGAACCAAGAUAUUCCACAGGAUUAUACUUACUAUGGCAUCCCAUCUCCCUGGCUUCAGGUUUGUACUUCUGUUUCACUCCUGCAGAUUCUAUUGAGUUCAAUGCCAAGCUUGGAAAAAAGUUAUGUGCCUGGUCUGAUUACAGUGUAGAACUGUUUUCACUAGGCUACUUGGUAACUGUUUUGAAUAGUUUUCCUUUUUUUCUUUUCUUAUCUCUUCUUUGGGGUGGAUGACAUUUGUUAUUAAUAAUGAUAAACUUAUUUUUGGUAAAGCUUAUCUGAUGUUUAUUAUUUUCUCUUAUAACAGGUUAAGACAAUGAGGGCUCUCCAGUAUUUUCCUACCAUUGAAGAUCCUUAUACGCGUAGAACAUUGUUUGAGGUUUUAACUUUUCCAUAGAAUUCAUCUUUUGAUGUUUCAAGAUUAUUUUGAUACUGAUGGAACUUUGCAUACUUAUUUCAGGUCUUACAAAGGAUAUUAAUGGGAACUGAUGUUGUGAAAAAUGUUAAUAAGAAUAAUGCAUCACAUGCUGUCCUCUUUGAAGCCCUUGCUCUUGUGAGUUUACUACUCAUUUCUGGUUUUGGCAUGUAAAAUUUAUUAUCAAUCAUUCCCUUCUAUACAUUAUUUUGCUUUCAGUAUACAUACACUUAUUCUGCCCAUAAGUAAGAAUGUAAUAGAAGUACUUUCAGAUUGAUGGUAACACCUCUCACUCUGCACCUGCACGUAAGGAAGAAAAACAUAAUGGUUCUGAAGUAGCAACCUAUCUGCUUUCUUGGCUCUUUUUGACAUAUUGUAAUGAUUUAAUCUAAUAUUAUUUACCCUCUCUCCUGGUCCCUCUUAGAGCUUACACACCAUAUGGUAUACAACCAUGUACAUAUGUCACUGUUCUAAUUUAGCAUGCAUGUUUUCUGUUGUGUGUUUGCUGCCCUUGUUACAGGUCAUGCAUCUUGAUGCAGAAAAGGAGAUGAUGUCUCAGUGUGUUGCCCUUCUUGGAAAAUUCAUUGCUGUUCGUGAACCAAAUAUUAGAUAUCUUGGUUUGGUAAGUUAUAGAAAUAUAAUACCUUAGUUUUCUUCUAAAUGAUCUUCUUCUUGAAGUAGCGAUUAUGUUCAUGUGCUAUAUCAGGGUGGAUGCAUAUAACCCAAUGAUUUACUUAUAGUUUUAAAAUUGCUUGGUUGCAGGAAAAUAUGACUAGGAUGUUAAUGGUUACUGAUGCGCAAGAGAUUAUCAAGAGGCAUCAGGCGCAGAUCAUCACAUCAUUGAAGGACCCUGAUAUCAGGUUGUUUCUGAUUUUGCAGUUUUGAGUUUUGGAGGUGUUCUUUUUGGGGGGGUGUAUGUAUGUGUGUUUGAAAGGCAACUUGCAUUGAUACUUAAAAGAACAAGAUGUAUACAAUCAAGACCUGUAGACAGAGUGAGUUACAAGGGAAAAUCUCUUAGAAAAAAGAUUAUAAGGGAGCUACAAAAUCAAUUUUCCAACUAACUCAGGUUUUGCCAAACCAUCUGCUAAGGAAUUUGUCUAUUUCAAUUUGUGUUUAAAAGAAAGAUGCCUAUUCUUGCCUUGGAGAUCACCAAUACGGUUCAUCCAUGAAGGAAAAGUAGCAUGAUUGUUGAUCCACAGAAGAGCAUUAGUAGGGUCAGUUUCCAAAAUGAGAGAGUGAGAACUAGCCCAAGGCGAGGAUGUGAAAAAAGAUAGACCUUAAUAAUCUGGAUUACAUCUAGGUAACAUCUAUCAGUUAGAUUGUUAUUUCUAUGAUUCUCUUCUGUGAAUCAGUAAUAGUCAAGACGCAAACCAUAGCUAACAUCUAUGCUUGUCCCGUGUAAGACAUGUCGAAGUGUAUAAGCAGUGCUUGUAAAUCCUUGCUAUGCACUUGAAAAGUUUUGAAAUCACCUUAUAUCAUUGUCUAUUAAUGAGCUCCUCAUCUGACUAAUUGACACGGCAAAUUAGUAACUUAAUUCAAGUCUAAACCUUAAUUUGUACUAUAUGUUGCUCCGACUCUUCAUUUUCCUUGAAGUACCUGUAUCCAAUGCAUAUUAGGACAUAGGUAUGGCAACAUGACCUUUUGAGGACCCUCCAAAUACAUGGCAGAACAUACAAAAAAAUGAGCAUAUCCGUGUAAUAAAGAUAUGGAUGUCUGACACGCACACUCAUGUCCGAGUAACAUACUCUAUAACUAAACCUUUGACUAUUGUCAUAUUAUAUUAAAUGGCAACUGUAAGCAGUUUCGGUAUAUAAAUUAAAUUAUUUAUGCUUUGAACUGUAUGCUCUUAAGAUACAUUUUUUGUUGACUAACGCCCAUAUGGGAUUUCCAGUAUCCGUAGGCGUGCUCUCGAUUUGCUUUAUGGAAUGUGUGAUGUAACAAAUGCAAAGGACAUUGUGGAAGAAUUAUUGCAGGUACUGUAGUCAUAAAUGUGAGCUUUUUUUUUUACUUUGAAUAGUCCCUUUGAUGUUUUAUUUUCCUCUAACUAUUCAAAUGCUAAGGCAUAAAGAUGAGAAUGUUACCGACUGUCAUCUAUUUACCAGUAUCUCAGCUCGGCUGAUUUCACAAUGCGUGAGGAAUUGUCACUUAAGGCUGCCAUUCUUGCUGAGAAGUUUGCUCCUGAUCUGUCAUGGUAAGCAUGUAGGGUGAAAGCUGGAUAUUAACAGAUAUUCUUACGAGCAGAACUUUUAUACCUCAGUAUUAUCUUUUCUAUUGUGUACAUUUACUUCAUAUGAUUACUUGUAUUCCUUAUCAAAUUGACUAGCUUGCCUAAAUCUUGCAGGUAUGUGGAUGUUAUCCUUCAAUUGAUUGACAAGGCAGGAGAUUUUAUUAGCGAUGAUAUAUGGUUCCGUGUUGUGCAGUUUGUUACCAACAAUGAUGACCUACAGGUGAUCAAAAAGCCUGUCACAGAUUUACUUCUAUAUUUUAUAACAGAAUAUUUUUUUCUUUGAUGGUUUCUGGGCUGAGACUUUUAUGCUUAUGACCAGCCUUAUGCCGCUGCAAAGGUGAAAGAGUAUCUUGAAAAGCCUGCUGUACAUGAGACCAUGGUCAAGGUCUGUAUAAUUUGUAUUUCCUUUUUUCCAGAUGAGCUGUGUGGGCUUGGAAAGUAUGGUGUAUGAUCCAUGUGAAUGGUUUAAGCACUUUAUACUAUUUUCUUUUUCAAAAUUGCAGUAAAAUAUUAGCUUCUAUGGUUUGGUUUCUCUGUCCUUGGGCAGUAGGAAAAGCAUAUUUGAUUGCAUUAGAGAUCUUUGCCCGUUAGGACUGGUAUUUAUGUGACAGCUUACCUUUUUGAAGCUAAAUUAGGGAUUUGCUUUUUAAACUGAAUUGAUGUAUAACGGACCAGACUGUGCACCAUGCUGCAUUUGAGUAUGGCUGCCUUUUUCUCUUGUUUGUUAUUAACUAAAUUCAGUCUCAUUUCUUUUUGUGUGUGUUAAUCUUUUAAGUUGAUAUUAUUUAGCACUUAAUAUUACUAAUAUAUACGCACAUAUAUAUUUCAGGGAUAGAGAUAUAAAAGUUCAUUUUGGGAUUUAUAUGUAUCAGGUCAGUGCUUACAUACUUGGAGAGUACAGCCACCUAUUAGCUAGACGGCCUGGGUGUAGUCCAAAAGAAAUCUUUGGUAUCCUACAUGAGAAGCUUCCUACAGUAUCGUAAGAACCUUUAAACCAUGAUUCUCUCUGUUUGGGCGGUAUUUGCUUUCCAUAUAUUUUAUUUUCUUAUAAUGGAUGUGUUUCAGGACUACUACCAUCCCUAUUCUUUUAUCAGCUUAUGCAAAGAUUUUGAUGCACACUCAGCCCCCAGAUCAAGAGCUGCAAAGUCAGAUUUGGGCAAUAUUCAAUAAGUGAGAUUUUAUAUUUAUAUGUUUUUCUUUACAUUGGUUAAUAUACCAUCUAUAAUCUGUUUGAAAUUUUAAAAUUGUUUAAUGCAAUGUUUUUAUUUGUUAACUCAGAUAUGAGAGUUGCAUUGAUGCGGAGAUACAACAACGAGCUGUUGAAUAUUUUGCAUUGUGUCAGAAAGGUGCUGCUCUAAUGGAUAUAUUGGCUGAGAUGCCUAAAUUUCCUGAGCGUAAGGUGUGUGUACUUUGCAAUAUUUGUUUAGAGUCGUCUGCCAUAUAUGGUUUUGAUUCAAGUGAUGGUUAACCAUGUUCAUCUGCUCAAUUUACAGUCUUCAUUGAUCAAAAGGGCAGAAUAUUCUGAGGCUGACACUGCAGAGCAAAGUGCUAUCAAAUUACGAGCUCAACAGCAACCAUCGAAUGCUUUAGUUGUAACUGACCAACCCCCUGCUAAUGGGGCAACAUCACCAGUUCCUGUUGGCCAGCUUAGUCUUGCGAUGGUGCCCAGCAUGAUUACUACUGAGGUUAGAUCUUUUGGAAUCCUAGUGGCUACUUGUUUUUUAGGUUUUUUAUAUAUACAUACAUAUAUGUUUGUAGCUUUUGUUUUAAAUCUAAUUUGGACUAAUAUUAUAUUUGAUUUAUCUUGGCAGGAUCAUACUUCAACAGACCCAGCCUCGUCUCAACAAAAUGGUUCUUUAACCAAAGUAGAUCCUCAACAUCCUUCAGCAGACCUUCUAGGUGAUCUUUUGGGCCCACUUGCCAUUGAAGGCCCUCCUGGUGCUACUGUCCAAUCUGAGCACAAUGCAGUCUCUAGACUGGAAGGUGGUCCAGAUGCAGUUGAUGGUUCAGCCAUAGUGCCUGUCGAAGAGCAGAGAAAUACAGUUCAGGUACCGCAUUCUCUUAUAAUGUUUACCCAUACCCCUUCUUCCUAGUUCAAAAAUCAGAAUGGAACCUUUAUGUGCUUUAUUUUCAACAUUGAAGAAAGCUGAUCUAAUUGUGUUCUACUCUUGUUGCGUAAAAGGGCUGGGAAAUUUUAUGCGAUCCCACCUCAAUAGCAUCCCUCGAACCCACUACUUCAAAAAUUGUGCAGCAUGACUCCUUUCCUUACCUUUUCUCUAGCUGGCUGCAUUUUGUGCUGGGUUACAGCUUUCUCUGUUAUCCUCUUUUAUCCAAUAUAAAAGUAAAGGGUUUCCUUUUCUUGGCUUCUUGAGAAGAUGAGGUUAGGGACUUCUAUUGUUGUCUGCCACCUUAGAAAAAGUUCUUCCGGUGGUCGUUAUCUGUCUGUUUGCAGUUUCUUUAUUGUAUGAUUAUAACACCCUUUUUUCACAUAUCCUCAAGUCAUUGUACAGAGCAUUUAUAUUUCCAAUUCCUUUGCUUUAAGUUCACUGUACUUGUUACUGUAUCUGCUACAUGCAACAGAUAUUUUCCUAACGGAAACUAAAAAGUUGAGCCGUUAUUGCAAGAUGAUUCUAGAAAGUGUAUUAUAAGUUUUACCAUUUGGUCUCAUUACUUGCAUCUGCAGCCGAUAGGAAAUAUUGCUGAAAGAUUCCAUGCUUUAUGCCUGAAAGAUAGUGGUGUUCUAUAUGAGGAUCCUUACAUUCAGGUAUGAACUCUUUACUUUUCAUAUUCCAUAGUUUCUGUUAUCUGCUUAUUUGUAUUAUUUCCUUAGGUUACUCUAGGAUAUAUUUUGGUUUUCAAGUUGGUAAAAGCUUCCAAAAUUUUGUUGCUGAUUUUCUCACUAAACAUUACUUCAGAUUGGCAUUAAAGCAGAGUGGCGAGCUCAUCAUGGACGUCUUGUUCUUUUCUUGGGAAACAAGAAUACAGCUCCUCUUGUUUCAGUCCAGGCUCUAAUGCUGCCCCCUGCUCAUCUGAAGAUGGAGCUUUCAUUAGUGCCUGACACUAUACCUCCUCGAGCACAGGUGAAAAGGAACCAUUCUGCUUGUAACUAGUUGCUGGUUAAUGGUUAUUGAUGCUUUUUUUUUUUCUUCCUUUUCCAUUUCAUACUUUUAAAGGACUGAGGAUGUAGCUGUUUUUUUCAUUGUUUCUAUAGGUGCAAUGCCCACUUGAGGUUGUAAAUCUUCGGCCAAGCCGGGAUGUAGCUGUUCUUGACUUCUCCUACAAGUUUGGGACCAAUAUGGUACUUUCUAAUAAUUUAUCUAUUAUGUACUUCUAGACCAGAAGGAGCUGGUUAAUUUUUACGAGGUAACUUAUUAUUACCUUUUACAGGUUAAUGUGAAGCUUCGCCUUCCUGCUGUGUUGAAUAAAUUUCUUCAGCCUAUUCCAGUGCCUGCUGAGGAGUUUUUCCCUCAAUGGAGAUCACUUUCAGGACCUCCAUUGAAGCUUCAAGAAGUGGUAUGUAUACCUCCUGUUUUUUGUGUCUUUUUUAUUGGUUGGGGAAGGGAGAGAAAGAGAAAGAUUGUGUUCAUCCUUUAGCCUUAAGCAUGCUUUGUUAUAAGUGGGUUGCUAGUGCCAUUCUUUUCUUUUGUUGCUAUUGGGGUGAGCAAUAUGUGGAUACCCAACCUACACCUGCAUGUAACUGUAAACAGCCAUCAUAUAAUGAACCUUCUUCUGUCUAUGCUAGUUCAUAUUAUUAUUUACGGACUAGUUUAUUUCCGCUGCUGGGCUCCCUGACUUAUAUAUUUGCUCCAAAUUGCGCAGGUUAGAGGUGUAAGACCCAUGCCUCUUCCAGAAAUGGCAAAUCUACUCAACAGUUUCCGGUUAAUGAUUUGUCCUGGGCUUGUAAGUCCUUUCAUCUGAAUAACCCCUUCUAUCGUUUAUAGAGGCUUUGUUUUACCAUUAUUUUUUCUUUUAUGCUUUUUCCAGGAUCCAAAUCCUAAUAAUCUAGUUGCAAGCACUACCUUCUACUCGGAGAGUACGCAUGCCAUGCUAUGUUUGGUAAGAAAUAUAUUCUGUUCAAUCUACAUGGCUGUUUUAUUAUAAGGGUGAAACUGGUUCUUACACUAUGUUCUCGGUUGUUUGGUAGUUUUUUGAAUUGUAUGGUUUGUGUUGCUUAUAAUAUUCUGGUUUAAAAAGGUGCUGAAUUUGUUCCAAAAUUAUUUGUCCUUCAGCCCUUGCUCAUUCCUCUAUCCUAAUUAAAUUUCGUAUGUAGAGAAAUAUAAGUCCUAUAACUUGCCCUUUAAGUGUGGUUAAAUUAUCCAUGAGCUUCUGGUCCAUUAGAAUGUGGGGAAGGUCAGUUGUUACAGCUUUUUUUUUGUGUAAUAUUUUCAGAUCAGAAUUGAAACAGAUCCUGCAGACAGAACCCAGUUGCGAAUGACACUUGCUUCAGGCGAUCCUACAUUAACAUUCGAGUAUGUACCUAAAACUUCACACGAACAUGUUAAGUUCAAAACCUUGGUGUUGACAGAUUUUUCUCAUAUUCCAUCUGCAGGUUGAAGGAAUUCAUCAAGGAACAAUUGAUGAGCAUUCCUACUGCUCCUCCUCAGUCACCAGCACCAGCACCACCUCCCGCAGCUCAAGCGACCCCACAAAUACCACCGAAUGAUCCUGCAGCUCUACUAGCUGGUUUGCUGUCGUGAAAAUGGAAGAUUUGUUCAGUUUACACUUAGAAACCUUGGUUUCUAUACUCUGCCGGCCACCCAUUUGGCAUUUGCCCCUCACAAAUAUGGAAAAUUUCAUGAUGCAAGGGCUUGGCGGAUCACGGAGGAGCUUAAUUAUGUUUUUCGGCUUAGUGAAAGAAGGGUUGGUCGGGUAUUUUGUUAUUCUUUCUGCACAUCCAUGGUGAGUAUUUUUUUUCCAAUUUUUUUUUAUCCGUUUUCCUAUUUCUUCUCAGCAUACCAGAUUGGGUUUCUCUAUCUAGUACGGUGUCGUUUUACGUGUAUGAUAUGGCAUGAAGUAGGAUCAGUUGUAACAAUGUAAUGGUUUGUUAAACCUGGUAUAUUUUUGAAUCUAUAAUAUAUAUAAAAGGACGAGUUUGAAAUUUUUUUUGAAUCCAUUGAGAGUUUUUUUUUCAUUAUAUUAUUAAAUUGGUAUUUAAAAUUAAUUAUAAUAUUUAAUUUAGAAAUAUUUGGGAUUAAUGAUCAUAUAUUUAAAAAUAAUUGUAGUUUAAUAGUUGUAAUAAUUAAAAUUUUAAAGAUAAAUAAAAUUUAAUUUACAAUUAUUACUUAAAAUAUUAUAGUUAAAGUAACUAUAAUCGAAGUAAAAGUUGACAUAAAAAAGUUUUUAUAUUGAAGUAGUUUUUAUUACAUGACAUUAUUUUUGUACAUAUUAAUUAUAUAUUAAUUAUAAAUUAUUAUUGUCAAUAUAUUGAUCAUUACGAAAAAAUUUUGAAUAAUGAAGAAUUUAUUUUACAAUAUAGUAAUUUUUUAUUAUUUAUGCAAAUAUUGUAAUAAUAAAUUUUUUUAUUAAUAUUAUAUUUGAAUUAUCAAAAUAAUUAAUAUAUUUUAAUAACAUGUAUUAAUUAUUAUUUAAAAUAAUAAUUAUAUGAAGUAAAAAUUAUAUUGUAUACAGAAAUUUGUACAAAUGUUUUAACUAUGAUUUAACUUUUUUUAAUAUUAUUAAAAUUUUUAUUGACGUACAAAAUAUUAAUCUUUUAAUAUGUUAUUUGAAAAUUUUUGUUUAUUAUAUUAGAAUUUUUAAAUAAAUUAAUAAAUUUUAAUUAUGUUUAACAAUUCGGGUAAUGAAAUAAAAAAUUAAUUAUAAAAGUAAAUGUAUUAUUUAAAAAUUAACUAAAAAAUUAAAUGUAUAAAACAGCAUGCAAAUGCAUGUACCAUUAGAAGAAGUUAAUAAAAUUUAAAGAAGUAGCAUAUAGCGGUAACAAAAGAACAAACAUGCGAAAUUUGAUGAUAUAUGUUGUUUUUUAUAUAUAUAUAUAAUAUUCUUCAAAUUUUUUUUUCAUUUUCAGUUUUUGUUCUGUCCAUGUGAUAAUAAUUUCAAUUAUGUUGAAAUUAUUUUCACAUGUCAAAUUUUCCGGAAGAAAGUUUAGUAUUAAUCAGAAUUCUCUUUAUUUUUUAUUAAUAAUUCGAAUUUAGUAAUUGUAUACAUUACCAAGAUUUUGCCAUUCCAUUAGCAUUUGGUAUGCCUUGUUAUGUCAAGCCUUUCUCAUGUAAUCUUGGAGAUAAUAGUAAAUGGCCUAUGUCGAAACCGUUUUUUGAAAAACAAAAAUUUUAGUUGUCGACUUUUAAAACAAAACUGGAGUCGCCACCGAUCUUUUAUUAAGGUGUGAUCGGGUCACCUUAAAAAUUAUUUUGGUCUACGAAUUUUGAGAAAACGAGUUUGGGAGUCGGUUACGCACGAGGAAGGGUUAGCACCCUCGUGACACCCAAAAUCGGUACCAAAUUGAUCAUUUAAUGUCUUAGUGUCGAAAGUUAAAAAGAUUUUAAAAUAAGCUUGAAUGAUGAAAUUUGUAAAAGGAUAACAAAUUGUUCAAGUCAUGUAAAGAAAUCGAGUCCCAAUACGUCAGGGUACAAUUCCUCAUAAUCCCCGAACUUUGAAUAUCACUUUUAUUUCAUGCGAAAAUAUUCAUUUCGAGAAAGUAACAUGCCACACCCAAUACGUUAGGGCAUGACAAGUUAAGUUCCCAAAAAUGAUUUUUAUGCUCAUGCAUUUUGAAUAAAGAAUAUCCUUGGUUAUUUAAGAUUAACAAAGAAAAUCUGAACCCAAUAUGUUAGGGCUCAAUUUCCUUCGAAAAUCUCAAGCUUCGAACAUUGCUUUUAUUCAAAAAAAAAACUUUUGGAGCGAGAAAAUAACUUUGAUGUAUGGUUAAAACCAAAACAUAUUUUCAAAAAGGGUACGUUAAAAAGGUAAUGUACAAUAUGAUACAAAUACUUUAAUUUAUAGCAUAUACGAAUAAAUAUUUACAAAUAUAUAUAUACAAGUACAAUAUAAACAAGUAAAUUUACAAAUAUGUGUACACAUAUAUUUAAUGCACAUAUACAAAGAUACAUAUAAAAAAAGAUGGAAUGGAGCAUAUCAAUCAAAACUAAUAAAAAUGCAUGUAUAUAUAUUUGAAAAUCGUGAAAAUAAAAUAAAAAUAUAAAAGUAUGUAUAUGUAUAUGUAUAUGUAUAUGUAUAUAUAUAUGUAUAUGUAUAUGUAUAUGUAUUUACAAAAUUGAAAAAAAAAAGUAUAUAUAUAUAUAAUAUAAAGUAUAUGAAAGAUUUAAAAAUAAUAAAAACGUAUGUAUGAAUAUAUGCAUAUAUUUGUAAAGGUUUAAAAUAUAUAUACAUAUAUUAAAAAUAUGCACGUAUGUUUUAUAUGGAAAGAAAAAUAUGCGCACGUUCAUGUAUAGAAAAUAUAAUAAUUAUAAUGAUAGUAAAUGAUAUAAUAAUAAAUAAUGGUAUAAAUGUAGUAAUAAAAAAUAACUAAAAUGGACUGAACUGAACUAGAACGAAAAAAGGGGGCGGAUUCGCAAUAAAUAAAAAGGAACCAAUUUGAACGCACGAACAACAAUGGGGGACUAAGAGGGAAAUUAAUCCCACCCUCCAAAGCGCUGCGCAGCAACUUGGAUUAAAUUGAAACAGUAACAAAAUAUGUUGCGAAAUUUAAAAGAAAUAAAAAACAAUUUAAAAACACCACAGAAUCGAAAGGACUAAUUGCGAAAAUAUCCCAUUAAAAAUAAAAAGGCGGAUAGUAUAGGCGAAACGGCACCGUUUUGUUUAUACUAUUAAAACAAAAAAUUUACUUUUUAAAAAAAAUCUAUUUCAUUUUUCUGUUUUAAAAAACAAAAAAGGGGAGGGGGUUUUCUCUGCUAGGGUUUUUUCUUUAACCCAACCCCCCCCAAAGCCACCGCAACCUCCACAGCGGAUUUGAGGCCCCUCUCUGACUCCGAUUCGGGUAACAAGCAGGGUUCCUUCCUCGCAGGUAAGUAUACUCUCUCUUUUCUUUUCGUUUAUUGUUUAUUUUAAGAAACAAGUAGGAAAAUAAAAGAGUAAAAAAAAAAAAAGGGAAAAAACGAAGCAAAUUUUCACCUUCAAAAUUUGUUUUCUCUCUUUGAUUCUUUGUUUUCAGUAUUCUUUUCAACACAACAUCCCCCCCUUUCAUAAAUUAAUCGGCUCCUUUUAUAGCCGAGAAAUACAAACUAAAAUCAAACGAAUCCCUAAAAAAUCCCGUCUCUUAAUCGGUUAUCCUAUUUGCGUGCUGCUCGUGUUUGUUGCAGGUAUGGCUGUGGAGAAAAAUACGCGCGACACGCGCGGAGUAACGUGCGCGACGUACGGGGGCGACGGGCGCGAUGUGCGGAGGCUGUUGCGGGCGUGGCUGCUGUUGAGAGCGGCAGCUGGAACAGAGAAGCUAGGGCUUCUUUUUUUGGUUUUAGGCUGAUAUGGGCUUGGGCUAGGGUUAAUUUUUAUUGGGCCAUACGGGUUGUUGGGUUUUGUAUAUUUAUUUGGGCCCGGGCAUAUUUGGGCUUGUACAGUUGCCCCUCUUUGCUCGUUGUCGUGUAACGGGAACAGAGCAAAGACUAAAAGCCCAAUUGUGCCUGGUCUUACUAAGCCUCGACUUCUUCAAUGCUUCAUUUAUUCAGGUAGCAUCAUUCCUUCCUACUGCAUCUUCAGAGUUAUAGGAACCAGUGCUUCGAUCCACUCCACUGCAACGUCAGGGAGAUAGGAUUUGUACCUUGUAGCUUCUCAAAAGAACAAAAUUUGCUAACUUUAGUCUGCUCCACUGCAACUUCAGGGAAAUAAGACUUAUAACUUCAACUUGUUCUGCUACGACUUAAAGAUAAGUCUGAUGCGAUCUGCUCUACUGCAACUUCAGAGAGACGAGAUAUGUGGUCUUAAUCCACUCCAUUGUAACUUCAAGAAGAUUGGAUUGGUUACUUCUGUCUACUCCACUGCAACUUCAGGGAGAUAAGACUUGUAUCUUCGAUCUACUUCACCACCAGUAUGGGAAGACAAGAUCUGCUUACUUCGAUCUACUUCACGCCAAUACAUGAAGACAAUAUCUACUUUCUUUGAUCUGCUUCUCUACCAGUAUGGGAAGGCAAGAUCUGGUAUCCCUGAUCUACUUCACGCCAGUACAUAAAGACAGGAUCUGCUCUCUUCGAUCUACUUCGCCACCAGUAUGGGAAGACAAGAUCUAUAUAUUCGAUCCACUUCGCUACCAAUAUAGGAAGACAGGAUCUGGUAUCUUUGAUCUACUUCACGCCAGUACAUGAAGACAAGAUCUAUUUUCUUUGAUCUACUUCGCCACCAGUAUGGGAAGACAAGAUCUAGUAUCUUUAAUCUACUUCACGCCAGUACAUGAAGACAAGAUCUGUUUUCUACGAUCUACUUCGCCACCAGUAUGGGAAGACAAGAUCUGGUAUCUUUGAUCUACUUCACGCCAAUACAUGAAGACAAGAUCUGCUUUUUUCGAUCUACUUCGCCACGUAUGGGAAGACAAGAUCUGGUAUCUUUGAUCUACUUCACGCCAGUACAUGAAGACAAGAUCUGCUUUUUUCGAUCUACUUCGCCACCAGUAUGGGAAGACAAGAUCUGUAUAUUCGACACGCGCGGAGUAACGUGCGCGACGUACGGGGGCGACGGGCGCGAUGUGCGGAGGCUGUUGCGGGCGUGGCUGCUGUUGAGAGCGGCGGCUGGAGCAGAGAAGCUAGGGCUUCUUUUUUUGGUUUUAGGCUGAUAUGGGCUUGGGCUAGGGUUAAUUUUUAUUGGGCCAUACGGGUUGUUGGGUUUUGUAUAUUUAUUUGGGCCCAGGCAUAUUUGGGCUUGUACAGCCUAAGUACAAACUAAGCUUUUGGAACUACGAGGGUCCAAGGGAUAAUUUUUUUUUUAUUUUGUUAAUAUAUGUUUUAAAACUUUCUAAACUUUUCCAAGUUUUUACUUUACUUUUCAAAUUUUUAAAAUUUAGGUCCGAUUGUUAAUAUCAUUAAAAGUUGAUUAUUUUUACUAAAAUAAUAUUUUUGAAAUAAAAAUUAAUUAGUUGAUAGUGAAGUAAUAAAAAUAGAAACGACAGUAAUUUGAAGUAAAAGAAUGAGAUGUUAUUAUUAAAUUUUGUUGUAACACUUUGAUACUGCUGAAUUUUAUUUAUUUUUAAAUUCCAUUACCGUACAAACAUUGAAGAAAUAGUAAUAAUAGAUGAAACAAAAAGAAAGAAUGAACUAUUAAGCUCUGUUUAAUUUGUAGUUAACAUGUUUAAAAUUAGGGAAUUACUUUGGUUUUUUUUUAAUUUAUACAAAAAUAAUGCCAAUCUGAUAAGCAGCACCAAAAAAGAGGCAGCAUUUGCUUAUCUUUCAAGCUCUUCUUCUACGUAAACAUCUAAACCUUCCCUACCAUUCAUUGUAAACUCUUUUUUUUUCUUUUCUUUUAAAAAAAAAUCACAGACUGAUCAAAUCAGAGGAGAGUCUCAACCAAAACGCAAUUGCAAAACCUUCGCCUCAGAAAGAUGGCACAGCAAUGGGCAUAAGGAUUCUUCCUCCCAAUGCAUCCAUCACCUCCAUAAUACAGGUGUCACCUGUAGGCUGUGCCUAGCUUUGCCUCCCCUCUUCUAAAAAUUUAGACCAACAAAAUACAGAGGACAGAUCUCAAACUUAUAAAACAUCAGGCUAACUACCGCCAUUCUCGGCAUCGGCCACACCUCCAGUUGUUUUCUGAAGAUGACGACUCUUCCCAAGGAGAACAAUGACUGUGCAUCAAAAACCCACAUACAUCACAAUAGAGUUCAGGUGCAGGAUCAUUCAAUAGACACACAUGACAAUGAAGUGCAGUCACAUCAGCCUCCACUUGAUUAUCAACAUCCUUUGCCGUUCCAUCAGUUCCAUCAUCAGAUGCUAGCAGCUCCGUAAAUGAGAAAUACGUCUGUGGUUCAAACUCCAUAUCCUCAUAGUUGACAUUUUCAUAAUCAAAUAUCAGCUCACCUUCAGGACCCCCAUUCCCAGGAACAUCCCAUUCUGCAAAUGGAAUAGCUGAAUCCCCCUUGGGCACUGCAAAAUCAUUAGGUUCAGGAUAUGUCGACAACUCAACAUGUUCAACAUCACCCCCUGCAAAACCAUCCAACUCCCCUUCCCGCUUUAUAUGCCUUCUGACUGGUAACUUCUGCGGCCCAGGGGCAGAAGCAGUAUUCAACUCAAAAUACACUUCUGGAAUGUUCUCCGUUAUUUGCUCAACUUUGGAAAGGGAGAAAACAUCAGGAUCAUUAACAUAUACAAGCUCAUCCUCUGUAGAAAUUAUUGGAGUGACAGGACUACACACUUUAAUGUCCGAAAUAGUUCCAAGAUCAGAGUCCAAUGCUAUACUUCCUUGUCCUUGUUUCUGCAACUUCCCUAACCGUUUCUUGCGCUUUUGCUCUCUAAGUUCAGGGGCCAUGAAAGGACACUCAGGUCCUCUUAUCCUCCGACACUUGCAACAUUUGAACCCAACCACAUCAGAAAUCCUUGACUCCUCAAGUUCAACAGCAUCAGCAUGGUACCACUCUGAAAAAAAUUACAGAUAUGCAUCAUGACCUAAAAGAUCAAAAUAAUUUCUAAAGGAGGAAAUGACAAUAAAGAUCAGUAGCAUACUUCUGCAAGUUUCACAGUGAAUAUACAUCAGAUCAGAGUUAUAGGGUUGUCCACACAGCUCGCAUUGAGGCUUCAAAAAGUGGUUAUCUGAAACACCCCUUGUGAGUAUGUUUGCCAGCCUGAAGUCGAUUCCAGUUUCAUCACUGUUCCUUUUCCUCCAUAUGACACCCCAGUUACACAACUUACUUCGCUUCGAUGCUAAUCGAGAAUGAGAAGCAGAUUGCUUUGUAUCAGAACUUCUUUCCUGAAUUUUGACAGAAUUCUCCUUGCUUCUGAUAGAGGACAGUUUCAUGGGUUGAGUAGAACUUUUAACCGGCAUGCCUUUGGAGACUGCUGGUGCACUGCGACAGUCUUGUCCUUGCAAGGGCAAUAGAGUGGUAGGAGACUUGGUAUUGAUUUCAUUUCGAGCAAGAACUCUGGCAUUGUAACACUCCUUACAAAUGAUCAAGCACUCAACUUUCCCAUUCAUAACUGUUGAGCUUAAAGUACAGUCCUGAUGACAAUAACCUGAUCACAAAUUGACAAAGCAAAAUAAGACGGACAUUCAAACCAAGCUCCCAACAAAAAUAAACGAUCCCACAGAGAAAAAGCUCCUGGCGGGUAAAUUUUUUGUUUCAAUAAUUUUGGUAUAUUACUAAAAUGGCUGUAUCUCAUUCAUGUUUAAAAGAAAUAAUAAUCUCGCAGGAAAUAAAUGAGUUUGUAUAGCUAUUCAGUUAACUAAAUAAGAGUCAAGAUUCACGAUUACCACUUUAGGCCCAGACAAGAACAAGUAAUGAAAAGAUAAAUUAUUAAUAAUAAAACAGCUUUCCACAAGGGCGCUAAUGAUCUGAUAUUGAUGGUUCUCCCCUGAAUCUAAGUUUUUCUAGGAACAAAUUCACUUUGUCAGAACAUAGGAUCAAGUUUCACUGGCUCAAAACUUACCAAAAUCAAUCAAUUGCUAGUGAAGUCAAGAAAUUUCAACAGUGUAAGUUUCAGAUUUUCUUCUAACAUUUCUAUUUAGAGUAAUUAAUCAUGCAAUUCUUGAAAAUAUUUUGGAGUAAAAGCCAAUCAAAAUUAUUAAACAGGAUGAUC